rnacentral:lncRNA from 1 species
CCCUCAGGUGCGAUAUCUUUUGAGAUAGGUAUUCCCAGGAACAAUAGAUUAACGCCUGGAUAAUCAGACCAAUUGUCCCAGCUCCGGAAGAGGAGACUGGUAUCGUUUGGAGGCUUAAACUGACAAGAUGGGUUGUCGAAAAAUUCCACCCGCACCUGAUCAACGACACCAGUUCUGAUAGUUGUGUCAAGAGCAGGGUCAGGAAUAGGACAUUCCGCAGCUACGGCUAAGAUGACAUUUGGGUAUCCCUUAAGUGCCCGAGCAAGAUCAUCCAAGUAAGUCGUGUUUCCGCUGUGGAUGUGAAGCUCUACGCCAUCUAAAACAGCUGUGCCGAAUGGACGGUCGCUUGAUUCACCGCCUAAGUAAGUGUUCCAGACAAAGGCUGCCACUUCUUGCGCAUCUUCGACGGAAGAAAGCCUCGGUUGUCCUGCGAGAGAAAUAAACACUUUGGUCUGAUGUUUCUGGCAAGAUUCUAUGUCUGAUGAGCUCGGCAAAGGAUGAAUUAUGUUCAAUUCAGGCAUCUGGCCGCUGCCAAAAUCUUCCAGAAAGGCAAUAUUCACGUCGGUAGCGAAUUCUCGCCUGCAGAACUCAGCCAAACUUGAUGGUUCUUUAUGGCCUCGGCCCCAGUAUUGGACAAUUCCGGCAGCUUCGGAGGACCCAAUCAGAGAAGCAAUCAACAGGAAUGUUAUUGCUGAGAACAGUGGUUGCAAAGAGGCAGCCAUUUUUUUUCUCUUUCUUUUCAGUGAUUUUUGCAGCUUUGCUUUGGUGAGUUCACUUGCACAAUGACUGACCAUUUUAUAGAUGAGUUUAUCUCAAGUGGAUGUUCAGCAUCUAGAAUAUCCAAACAUCCGUACAACAAAACGUGAAUGGCACGAUUUCUCAUUUCUGCUCUCAAAAAGGUGAAUGGUAUUAUUUUUGUGUUUCAAUAUUGCUAGAGACUACCGUUGUGCUCGCCUAACCUCAUCCACAACUGGACGAAGAAAGAUCUUUUUCUUUCUUUUUUUUUUCUUUUGGGACAUUACAUGGCAGCUAGGGGGGGGGGGAGUGGAUCCUUGAGAUUAAUGGGAAUUGAAUCAUCAUUGAAUUAGACGAGUGGUCCAAACAUCCUCUAAAUUUUAGAAGAAAUUGCAUAUCAAAUGAUAAUUGAUGAAAGAUAAAAUUCGAACCUCGAUAAGAGAAAACUAGGAGUCUUGUUUGAAAUGUAAAAUUUUCAUGAACAUUCUUGAAGUAAAAAGAGUGCUCAAGUAGCCUACGAAAUCCUUCAACUAUGGUACAAUAAAGUGAAAUGGGUGCCUUUCAAUGUGCAAUAAUGGUAGGGGCAACUAUUCUUCUAACUGCUGCUUCAAAUGCAAUUUUUAAUUUACACUUUUUACCAUCUCUCUAUAUCUUUAAAAAUUAAAGUAACCUGCACAACAUGCCCUUACUAUGUGCACAAAUAUUCAUACCGAUGUGCAAAACUUUGGAAUGGUCCUAGUUGUAUAUAUUAGUAAUAGUAGAAAUGUAAAGUUCAAUACUUCCACCUCAAAAGUAACUGCAAAAUAUGUCAGUUGGAAUGAUCCCAUUUAAAGUUCAGAUCACCCCUUAUUUAAUUAUGUUAAGUUCUUAAUAUUUUCCCAUUCAAUCCUUCAUUCAACAGCGGUGAUGGUGCUGUGACGUUUGGUCUUAAGCAAGAAAAUUUUUUUCCUCGCCCUCAGUGUGAAUGUGACUCUCAUAUAUAAAUAAUCUCAUAGCAAAACAUGUUCUUACUGAUCGCAGAAGUGAAGCUUGUACACAGGAAUGUAUAGAUUCCAGUUACAUCCAACUAAUCACUGUUUAAGCAUACGAAUUAGCCAUCACGGGCUAAGACACAGAGGCAAUUCCAGUUGGUUCUAGAUAAAGGGAUCUUCCUCUAACCUGCUGUCACAUCCUUUACAGGAGCCAAGACAGCAGGAACUAUGUCCACAGCCGAGAUAUGUCUCUGCUGAAACAUAGCCAAAUUCCUUGCUGUCCAUAGCUAGUAUAGGCUCAAAACCCUCUUCUCUUUCUUUGCUUCUUAAAUUCCACCCUUCAAUCCUAUGCUACUCAUCCUAUUUUUUAAGAAUUUUAAUUUAUUUAUUUUUUAAAAAAAUUGAUUCAUGUCUUCUGUUUGGAUCCAUGUCUUUGCUGCUUUUAAUUCCUUAAUUUAACGUAGCCCCAAACACGGCAUAUAAUAGUCACUCUCUUAAUAAAUGCAAUUAAUUAAUCAUACCAAAUAUAACGUUUGGAUUAGGUAUUGUAGCACACCUUAGUUUUAUUCUGUUCCCUAUUUUACUUAGUUUCAAACAUGCCCUAUAAUAAUCAACCCUCUAAUGAUGCAAUUAAAUAAAUAUACCAAAAAUAUCUAUACAUAUUUGAAACUAAACAUAAUUGUAUCCAUAACAAUCAAUAUAAAAAAUUAACUAAAAAACAAUCUUUGACUAACAUAAACUAAUAAUCUAAGUUCUUGUCCUCCAAAGAAAUAACAAUAUUCCAAAUCAUAUAAGUUGAACAGCUUAGCAAAUUAGCAAAAUUGACUAACAAACACAACACAAGGUUACAAAAUAUUCAACAUUUCUGUAUUCUUUUUCUAACUAAAAUUUACAAAUCAUACCCAAAAAAAGAACUAAUCUAAGUUCCUAUCCUCUAAAGAUAUAACAAGAUUCCAAAUCAUAUAGUUGAACAAUUUACCGAAUUAGCAAAAUUGACUAAAAAAAUACAAAAAGAGAACAACAAAAUUUUCAAUAUAUUUUGUAGUGCUUUCCUAAAUAAAAUUUAAAAAUCAUACCCAAAACAUAAAAAAAAAUGAAAUAUACUUAUCAGAUACUUCAAUUAUUAGAAUCAUCAUGCACAGAAAAUAAAAAAAAAUAGCUCUAAAUUUCAGCCCAGACCUAGAUCUAAAAUUGGACCUGAAUUAUAUAUAAUCGGACAUUAUUCAUGCUAUUAGAAUUGAUAGAUUUUGUUCGAGCAUAAAAAUGAAAUAUAAUAUUUUUACCUAUUCUUUUGUUACACAAUCAAAAUUAAAAUUAUGUUAUAGUUAUGACUAAAAGAAAUGGAGAAGUAUAUUUUGCAACUACUUAAACUUUUUAUUUAAACUAAAGACAUAUUGAAACUAGGAAAAUUAGUUUAGAAAAGAUAAUAUGAAAAUAAUGCACAAAAUUUGGCUCUAUAGAUGUAGCAUCUACAGAAAGGACGAUUUGCAUUUAGGGGUUGCGGGGAUAUGGAAAAGUAGCAUGGAAUGGGGUUGAUGCAAGGUAGAGUAUGAGGACAAGGGAAGAAGGAAGUAGGAAAGUGGUGAUGUGGGGGGUCGUAGGAAAAGUUAAAGGAAGCUAAAUUUACGCAAUGAUACUAAACUACUUAAAGUUUGAAAUUCCAAUUGAAAAUAUUAAUAUUAUGAAAAUUAGUUUAGGAACGACAAUUCACAAAAAUUACACAAAGUAUGGCUCCAUUUUGAUGGGUUACUUUUAGAAAACUUUCAUAAUGGGAAUAUUCUUUUAAAAUCUUUAUAUGCAGUAUUUUUUGGGUCUUUUUUGAAAAUUUUUGGUAUGUUUUCAUUGAUGGCAUUGAGUAUACUUAAAAAUGGUAGGUAAGUAAUAAAAUGAGUCUCGGGAAUAGAAAAAGAUAGUUGGCAAUGGGAGUGUAGGUAGCAAUUGGUAAAGAUUUAAGUUGACUAAGUUUACUUAACAAUAUUAAAUUUACUAUGAAUUAAUCCUAUAUACACUGAUAGUGUAUACGCUAUCAUUAUUAGAUAAAUGAUAUAUGUGCAAAAUUUGAAUUUAAAAUUCAAAAUUUACUCAUAUGUCAUCCAUUCAAUCGUGAUAGUGUAUAUAAAAUUUAUUCAUUUAAGUUAUAGAAAUAUUAGAUUUACAUUUUAUUAUCACUUUAUGAGAUUAAAUUUACUUAACAAUAAAAUUUACUUAACGAUAUUAGUUUCAUAUUUCUAUUUUACCUAUUAAAUUUACUUAAUAAUAUUGCUGUAAGUCCUAGAGCUGUUAAUUGAGUCGAGUAUUUGGCUGCCGAGCUCGACUCAAGUUUAAUUCAAGUCGAGCUCGACUCGAGCUCGUUAGGAAAACGAGUUUUAAAAUGUGUUCGAAUUCGAGUCGUUAAAUGUACAUGUGGCUCGACCAAUUUUUAUAUCACUCGUGUCCUCAUCAAAAUGGGUGCCCGUCAAAAAAAAGUCUCUGCGUGAUGCAGAGAACCUCUGCGUAAGUGUAGACUUUUCACAAUUCCACGUGUAUGGAAUUUUUUAGACAUCGACCGUACAGACGUGGAUUGGUUUGAUACAGUCAGGGAUUUAAAGGUCAAAUAUCAUUUGGAAUGAACGGUUCCUGUAGCUGAUAGGAGGACACGCCUCCCAAGGGAGAUUUCCUCAUACGGAAUAUCUUUCAUUUUCCAUGGCGGAUUGAGACUUCCAUCGUCCACUUGUCCCCACCUUACCCGUCGCCAAGUUUUUCCACACAACUAAUCAUUCCGAUAUCUUUAAUUGAAUGGGGAUAUCUUUUGCAUUUGUCUUUUGUGCUGUUACGUAUAAAAUAGUCGAGUUGAGUUAUUAAAGUUUUUUAUUUUAAAUGAAAGUUUUAAUUGUGCUGUGUAUUUCUGGAUUUUAAUAUAUGUUUUUAUUUGUCAUUAAAGCAAUAAUUCGUUAAUGAAUUAUGUUUUAUUAUGAAAAAAAAAGAGAAUAGAUACGUCAAAUAAUCUACUGAGCACCUAGUAGUAAGUAAUACAAUAAAUAUUGUUGAAGAUCUGCACUCUUGAUUGGCCUAUCUGUGUUGCAUUUCCUGACCAAACUGUAAUUGAUGGAAUUUAGAUCCGAUCAAGGAUUACUCGACAUAAAGGAGAAUAAUUGCAAGAUCAUUUGCUUAGCAAAGUAUGUGGAUCCCACUCCGUACGUUUUGUCGGCUUACUCUUGGAAAUGGACUAUUCCAUCCAACCGGCUUUUACCCGAGAGGUAAUUCUGACAUCAUUUCACAUAUUUUCUGGGAAAAUUUUUAAGUGGUUGCUUUUUUUUUUUUUUUGAUUGAAACGAUAGAAUUAAGUGGUUGUCAUUCUAUCAACAAUUUUCUAUAGACAUAGAUAAAUGAUGCUUUAUCUGAACUUUUUUUUUCCAGUAAUAAUACAUUGUAUAAUCUACUUUAUCCUAAUUUAAAAAGAAGGAAAGCCUAAAGAGGUUUGUGUUAGAGGUUAGUAGGUAUAUAAACUCAACUAAACUAAGAAAGUGUUAUGACACUACCCUUACAUUUUUUUUUACUGUCAAUAAAGUUUGAACCCUUGCCUACAGUCCAAAAGGGACUUAAGUCCAUAAGCUCAGUGGCUUGAAGCUUCAUCUGAACUUAGCUUUUGUGAAUAUUAUUCGUGUCACGUGACUGCAUUGGAUAAGCUUAUUAUCAACUGCCACUUGUACUAACUGACAAGCUCUUAUGUAGUUGAGAGAGAGCCUGAUAAAUAAAUUAAAGUGACGGUCAUGGUAAAUUUCUUCUCAUGAUCCGUGAAUGGAGUUAAUUGUUGCUGAAAUACUCUCUCCGUUCCACUUUGAUAGUUCUGUAUUUCUUUUUUAUCUAUCCCAAAUUAUAGUUCACUUUCUAAUUGAAGAAUGUAAUUGUAUUUUAAUUUUCCUAAAAUAUUCUUAUUUAAUGUAAGUAGUUGUUACUAUAAACCUAUCUCAUUUAAUGAGAGUUGAUUCUUUUUUUACCAUCAAUUUAAGUUUUCAUAAAAUUAUACCAUAUUUAAUGUGGGGGUAUUUUAGAAAAAUAGCAAUUUAAAUUUACUUUUCCAACAAAGUUAACUACAUUUUCUUAAACUGUGUGAAAAAAGAAACAGGACUAUCAAAAUGGAACGGAGGUUGCAGGAAAAAGGGGCGGGAAUGAUUGUCAACAGAACCUUUCUUGAACGGUGUAAAAGCGGUUCAACGAGUUGCGUUAAUUCGCCAUCAGCUUGCAAACCCUUAGAAUAUAAUGUUAGCUACUGUUCAUAUUGUCCCGUACUGCCAUGCUUCAUAUUGAGUCAUUACGAAUAAAAGCCCUAACGUUUCAAUGUCUGGACUAAGUAUAUAAAGUGAUAAAGUAAGAACCAAAAUCUAUCAAGCGUAUUAUCAUUCUACUAACAAGAACUGGACUUGAUUAAUGAUAAUUAUAAUGCCAUAGCUUUCAACUGGUUCCAAGUGAGAACUUACAAAAAGUAGUUCAACUCAAUGACAGCUCCUGUACUAAUACUUGUCACCAAUCCAUAAGCCCUGACGUCACAAAGAGGAAAAGUAAAAGGCAAAUAAGUAGCAACUCGAAUCCGAACUCGAGUUGAGCUCGGUCAAUAUCAAAUUCGAAUUGACCAAAUCGAACUCAAAUUUGAAAAUAUUUAAUUUGUUAGCUCGCGAGCCAACUCGAUUAUAUAAAUAUAUAUAUUAUUUUUUAUUUUAUUAGUAAAAUAUUAUAUAUAUAUCACUAAUAUUUUAUUAUUUAUUAAGAAAAAUUAUUAUUUUAUUUAUUUUUAAAAAUAAAAUAAUUUUUUUUAUUUUUUUAAGCUCGACCUUGAGUUGAAACUCGACUCGAACUUUACAUUUUGAGUUCGUUGAACUCAAAUUCGAGUUUGCGUUUCAUAAAAUUAAAUUGUGAUUCAAUUCGAUUAGGUCAAAACUCGACUCGACUUGACUUGUCCCGUUUCGUUUGCACCCGGAAGGAAGGACCUUAGUAGUGAUUCCUAUCAAUUUCUUUGAUUUAAGGUUUCAGUUCUGCCUGGGAAAAGGUGAAGAGGCACCACUAGCAUGGCUGUAGACCUAGUAGCUACAAUAAAGGCAUCAAGUUGCCCCGCCAAAAUCCGGCCAACCUCCAUCGCCAAUUAACCAAAAGAUAUUUUUAUCAUAGCUAAUAUUUGAGAAUAGGCAAUAAGGGAUAACCUAAGAUUAGUAAGUAGAUUUUUGACUAAAGGAGGAGAAGGCAUUUGGAGAGGUAGGCAUGCUUUUUUUUUUUUGUCGGUAACGGUAGAUAUCUUAUAACCUAAUCUAGGCUAAUCUAGGGGAGAGGGGUAAGGGGAGAUGGUCAAUUAAAAUCAGCCACAUAUUGUGGUAAAAUUUGAAAGAGAUAGGGAUAGAAUUCCUAACCUCCAAUAUCACCAAAGAGGGUGAUGAUCACUGGACCAAAUGACCGUGACAUUUGGAGAGGUAGCAUGCAGUUGAGCAACUUUAAGAAAAUGCUCGAGAUGAGGAAGACGAAGAGAGGCGAAAUUUCCUAGCUAGGGGAGAAUCGAUCGGGUGGCUUCAACCUUAUUGGUCCAUGAAUUUCUUUGACCCAUGGCCCUUCACGCGGUGUCUUCGUACGUCUCGCACUGGUACUAGACUACUAGGUUGUUUAUCGGCCGAUAAUUUGAUUAAAAAUUCAAUUUUUUUUUUCAAUUUUUUCAACAAUGUCAACAUCCAAUUACCGUUCAAACUUUUAUUUAGUAAUUGGAUAUUGCAAAUUGGAUUACGACCGAAUAAUUAGUAUUUCAGUAAAAUAUCCAAAGUUUUAGAUUGAUUUUCUAAUAUAUAUUAGUUAAGUAUAUUUAAUAUGUAAUUAAUAAUGUAAAAGGUUAUUAAUAUGUUCAUUAAUAUGGUUUUAAGGUCAUAUAUUUGUCUAUAAACAUAUAUUAUAACUUAUAACACUAUUGAUUGAUACAUCAAUAUGCAAUAUGAUAUAUUAAUAGGCAUGAAAUAUAUAAAAUAUUUAAUUAAAAUAUGAAAUUCGGUAACUCAGUCGGUGGUAAUCGAAAAUUCGAGAAUCGAAAUUCAAUAUCAAAUGACAAACUGUUUUGCCAAAAUUUAAAAUUGGAUCUUAAUCGGUUUUUCCAAAUUUCAUUUUACCGACAUCCGAUUUUCGAUCUAAAUUGAAUCAAUUGAUUAUUCGAUUUUUCUUUUUUUUUUUUUUUGGAAGUGCGAGCACCCUUAGCUCGCUGGUACCGGGGUAGCCAGCCAAAUUACAAUUGACCAGCUGAAUUGACAAAUCCUGAAAUCCAAUUCCAGUCUCUUUCUCGUCUUUAUAGCAGUCUAUCGCAAAAGAUUUCUCGUCUUUAUUGUUCCGUGCUUCAACCGGUAAACUUAGACGGCGAUGGGUAUCUAUUUGGGCAGGGAAACACCAUGCAUUUAGGUGUCACUGCAUGACGUGCAGGAAAAGUUAUCGUGCGGGCCAUGACUUGAACUCAUCGUGCUCACUAGCUAUUGGCUACUGCAUCAAACACGUACCCCAAAAAGGAACAAGAGAAAAAGGGUAUCCAAUGGAGCAUUUCUUUCCUUUAGUAGUUUCUAGCUAAUUACUUUUCUUUUCAUCAGCCAAAUUCAAUUAGGUGAGAUGAUUCCUCGAAACUACUGAGCCAAGCUCAGGGGCCACCCACUUUAAGUGAUUCCGAGACAGGUAAAUAAUGCGUUCGUAGUCUAGGUCAACGGUGAUUCAAUUUUUAUCGAUUUUUUUGGACUAUUUUAGAUUCCUCUCCUAAUAUAAAAUAAAUAUAAAUCUAUCAUAUCCGAAAAAAAAAAAGAGAUGCUUCCUCGAAGUUUAAUAGUAAAAAAAAGUGGACAAUAGUAGAAACCCAAAGUUUCACAAUCUUUCAUUUUUUUUGGUUCUGGGGGUUUGGCUGUAUGUUACGUGUGUCGUCGUAUCAAAAUUAUACCAUAGUGAUUUAUCAUUUUGAUCGACGGGACAAAAUGAUAUUUUAUUAGGAGAAUGUUAUAAUCAAGUAAAUAGUAGAACUCCCAUCCCUAAGUGUCUAAUUAAUACAGACACAAACGGAGGUGUGAUUGUAAUCUAGAAACUAAACCAUAUACCACAUAAGCGGAGCAAGUGGAAUCUACUAUUCACCCUCUUUUUUUUUUCAAAAACGAAAAAGAAGAAAAAAAAAACUUGUUUGUUUAAGGGUGUAAUUGUAGUUUAAUAUGAGUUUCAAUUUUUCCCCCAAAAAACUAAUUCUGUCCCUCAUGUGUAGAUCAUUGUAUUGUCAUAAAAAAAAAAUAGUUUAUUUCCUUAUCUUAUAAAUCAUAACCUAUCAAGUUUUGCAUAUUGCUGGCCAAAAUUAAUUUUUUUUUUAUUAUUUGUUGAUAUUUUAUGAAACAUUCUCUCAUAUCCAACUAUAAACAAAACAGGAGGAGGAGUUGCGGUGUUAAAAUUUUGUGCCAUCUUUUACAUUACCUUUUUUGUUCUUACACUAGGGUAAAAUGGCCUAACCAUAUUCAAAAAUUACUUUUUCUAGUUUUAUGUGGAAUUUUUAGCUUUGUUGCUAAUCAUUAUAAUUAAAGGUAACUAAUGAAAAAUAACUACUCGUAUUUUCACCAAAGAUUAUAAAAACAAAAUUUUUUUCAACAUGUAAAACUGAUUUCUAGAAAACUACUUUUUACAACUAAAAAUUAUAACUAGGUUAGGACUGAUUUUUUUGGAUCGUAAUGUAGGUAUCAAUAUCAAACUAAAUCCAAAUAAAAAUGAAUCAGUGUUUCCAUUUUAAUUUGUAUGUCACCAAGGAUUUCUCCCACAAGCACGCAAUGAUUUUCCACCAUGAUUUCAAAUUUGAAGACUUUUAAGUUGUCGUCGUGUUAAUAUCAACUUUGUAUAGUAUAGUGUAUAGUUCCUCCCUACUUCCUACAACACAGAACUACUUCCUCCCUACUUCCUCUCUACUGCUUUCUAGCUUUUCUGUCAAUAACUCUAUGAACUACUCAUUAAUGAUUUUUAAGUAUUUUUGAACCAUUGAUUAUGGUAGCUGGAUAAAUUCUUAUAGUCAUGUAAUGUUGAUAUACGUUGCAUCUCCUGGAUUAGUUUUCUACCUCCUUCACCAUUGCAAGAAGUAAUGAUUUGGCAAUUUGUAUAUUUCAGACUAGACAGACUUGACUUUAAUUUCCAUAUAUCUUUUUCUUGUUAUAAAUAUUGAACUUUAAUUUUUUUCUGAAAUUGCAAAGAGAAAACUACAUUUCUCUAUUUUUUUAAUAUUGCCACAAAAUCUGUAGAUUAUUAUUGAACAAUAUAAAAGAAAUAAAAUAAACUAACUUAAAGCUAACAUAUAUGUGCCACAAAUAAUUUUACAGCCAAGAUAGAGGUUGAUGGUAUGUGAUAAGAAGCCCUUUCCAGAUACGCCUUCCAGGAGAGAAUUGAAGUAAUGGGAACGAAGUUAAAUUGGCAUUGUAUCUACUGAUGGAACUGUUAGAAUCGCGUCACAAUCACUACCAGUAACUCAGCCUAUGAUUUGUUGUUCCUCGAAAAUUGUUAUCCAUAUUAAAGUUCGAAAAACAAUUUAACCAAAUCGUAUGGAGUACUAUUCAUCCAUUUUUUUGGUCUUUACUUUAACAGCACAACUUAGAGACAUUAUUGAGUUUCUGCAAAUUCUUUUGUCAAAAAUGGCCCAAGGAUGAUUUUUAUUUGAAAACUACAAUAUUUUUGGUCUCUUAGCUUUUCAAAUUGUCUAAAAUAAUGCUAGAUUUCUGCUCUAGAAUACUAAUUUAGUCUUUCAAUUGUCAACUAUUGCACUGAAUUUUCACUUAUUUAGGAGGUGGCUGGGGAGAGGGGAGGAGAGCGAAGAGGGAGAAGGAGGAGUGGAGAGGAGAGAGAGUUAGGGAGGAAGGGAGGGAGUAAGAAGGGGAAAAAAAAAAAGAGGACUCCGCCGGCUACCGCGAGCAGUGGGGAGGGAAGGAGGAGGAAAAUCAAUGAGGUGGAGGAUAUGAAGAGGAAAGGAAAGAAAAGAAAAAGAAAAAAGAGGAAAACUUUUACACAUUUAAAUAAGUUUUUUAUUUUAACAAAUUUUACAGUAAGAUACAGUAAAAUUAUAUACAAACAUACAAAAAAUUCAUUCGCUAAAUAGGGCCUACAUAACACACAACCUGGUAGUACCAAUCACUAUUUCAGUACACAAAUAAUCAAGAGUUAAAACACACAUGAGGCAAGCCAAGCUCCCAAGCCAAUUCGCAGCUGGUUCUAGUCAAAGGGAUCUUCCUCUAACCUGCUACCACAUCCCUCGCAGAAGCCAACACAGAGAAAGUAUGUCCAUAGCCGAGACGUGUCUAUGCUGAAACAUAGCCAAAUUCCUUGAUCUCCUUAGCUAGUAUGCCACAAUUUUUGAGAGAGAGAGAAUUAUAUUUGGAAGUGACUGAAUUCCAAGAUUACAUGCAUCUAUCAGAAACUAAUAUUGUUUUGUGGAUACGAAAUUCAAAAAUCUAAAGAAGUAGGUCAUCUUUGAAUAAUAAAAACUAAAGGGCAUCCACACUUUACAUAUGAUUUAGACUAAAUAAUAAUAAUUUGCCAUAAUCAACACGUUGGAUGAUGCAAUUGGACGUUCAAAAAGAAUCAAAGAUCAAGCGCAAACGUGUUGGUACUAUAUUAUGAAUUGGUUUAACAUUAAUUUGCCUGUAACCUCCUAUAGAACUCACCAAACUAAGCAUAAAUGCAUGGGGCCCAAGCACUAAUUAUUUGAGCAAGAUUAUUUCCCACUUUGUGUGACGACAAAAAGAAUGUGGGAAGUUCUGUAGUCAUGUGAUAUAGAUCAAGGUAGCAUCUUCCAAGGAGCACUUCCUGAGUUCCUGUGGCCGAUACAAAUACAACGUUGUUGAACUAAUCCCCAAAGGACCUCUUCGUGUUGUCGGUUUUGCCAAUGUCUCGUCUGUAUCACCUGUUUACCUCCAUUCAUGUAUAGUUGCCAUUGUGUUCGUUCUAUGCAUAUAUCCUGUUGUUUGGUUUAAGAUUCCUCAACUCGAGGUAGGAAUUGGGAAUCCCUUUUUGUUUGGAAGGCAAAUAUUUUCCAGAAAAUGUUUUCCUGAUUUUCCAUUGUUUGAUUGGGUUAUUGCUUGCGAAAAUUUUCCACAUAAAUGAACUGAAAUUAUUUUUCAUGUCCGACUUGUAAGGCUAUUCAUUCAUGCUCCCUUCUUUGCUGUUUUCUCUCUUUUUUUUUUCUCUGUCUCUGUCUUUCUUUCUCUCAGAUACACAGUGUUAGGAAAUUGGCUUAAAUUCUUUUAGGUAGAUUUCUUAUUUGGUGUGGGAAGUGACUAGUUUCCUAAUUGGAUUUAGUUACUUGAAGUAGUAGUCAAGUAAAGCCCUAUUUAGCAGAAAUUAGAUGCUAUUUCUAUAUGAGUUUAGGAAAUAGUAUUGGUUUCCAAAUUGUUAUUUGGUUUUUUGGCAGUAAUGUUCCCUAUAAAUAGGUGGGUUGGCAUACUACACACACAAGAAGACACGCAAAAGAAGACACAAGGGGCCUCAUGUAGCCUUAUACAUGGGGUGUGAGAGAGGGUUCUUGGGAGAUGAGAGAUGGUAUACAAGGGUUGGGUUUGGGUUCAAAUUGUAUUCUUGUAUAGGGUUUUUCUCUCAUAAUAAAGAACAGGUUUCUCUCCUUGGAUGUAGGCUCAAUGGUGGAGCCGAACCACGUUAAAUAUUGUGUGUCGUUUAUCUUUCAUGCUUGUGGCUUGUUUCUCAUUAAAUUGUUGUGCAUUUGAUAUCUCAAUAGUUGUUUAUUCCGCAUCUGGAUCCCAACAAGUGGUAUCAGAGCCAGGUUGCGAGACUUGACUGCUCAAGGUUCAUAGUUGGAUCCUAGUUAACUAUUGAGAUCAAGUGGAUUGAUAGUUGUCACCAAUUGAACAAUUUAAUGGGUGGUAUCCUUGUUUCAAUGGCUUGGGAAAAACCAUUGAUGGUGAAGGAUGGGAAGUCGAAAAGCAUGGAAAUGCUUGACAGUGAAUCUAAGCAGGUGAUUCAAGGGUCAAGGAAAAGGUGGAGUCCAAUGUUGAUUUUGGACGUGAAUCGGUGGAGACUUUCUCACAUAUCCAACGGUUGAUUCUUCAUCCCGGUGAAUUUUAGAUUUUGGUUAUGUUUUUUGGGUGGUGUGGCACGUGUCCCAAAGAAAUAAGGAGAUCUAAUUUCUAUGCGCCAGAAGACUCUGACAAGUACGAGUUUUUCGUUUUAGGUGGAGUCUUGAAAACCACAUGUGGCGAGACAGUCCUGAGAAUGGGAAGAAGUAUGGUGACUUUACCACUUGAUUGUCUCAAUGGUUAGGGUUAGAGCUCACAGAAGGGAAUCCCAGAUUGCAAGUGCUGAUGAGAAGAAAUCCUGCAAAGGGAGACGGUGAAUUGAGGCACCUUCUCACGAGUCAACUGGAGGUUGGACUCGGGGUAACUACACAUGUUCAUUUGCCGAUUGAAUCAAUUUGGUAUCAGGACUGUAUUGAUUCGGAUGUGUAGUUUGGUACCAUAUUAUUUGGUAGUUGAAGGCAAAUGGUUUCUAAAAGAAAUUUUCGCCAAGGUGGAGAUUUGUUAGGAAAUUGGCUUAAAUUCUUUUAGGUAGAUUUCUUAUUUGGUGUGGGAAGUGACUAGUUUCCUAAUUGGAUUUAGUUACUUGAAGUAGUAGUCAAGUAAAGCCCUAUUUAGCAGGAAUUAGAUGCUAUUUCUAUAUGAGUUUAGGAAAUAGUAUUGGUUUCCAAAUUGUUAUUUGAUUUUUUGGCAGUAAUGUUCCCUAUAAAUAGGUGGGUUGGCAUACUACACACACAAGAAGACACACAAAAGAAGACACAAGGGGCCUCAUGUAGCCUUAUACAUGGGGUGUGAGAGAGGGUUCUUGGGAGAUGAGAGAUGGUAUACAAGGGUUGGGUUUGGGUUCAAAUUGUAUUCUUGUAUAGGGUUUUUCUCUCAUAAUAAAGAACAGGUUUCUCUCCGUGGAUGUAGGCUCAAUGGUGGAGCCGAACCACGUUAAAUAUUGUGUGUCGUUUAUCUUUCAUGCUUGUGGCUUGUUUCUCAUUAAAUUGUUGUGCAUUUGAUAUCUCAAUAGUUGUUUAUUCCGCAUCUGGAUCCCAACACACAGAUCAUACGCACUUAGGGGGAGAUCUAGACUUGAAAUUGAAAGGGGCUAUAGGGAGAUCGUGAAGGAUGCUAGAGAAAGUUUUGAUGUAUGAAAAUGAAAUGAAGUUGUUAAUUUUGUGCUAACAUACUGUAAAUUUGAGGUAUGUUCACGUUCAAUGGACAUUAACUGUUACCGUUUGAAUUGCUAUUUUCUGGAACCUUUUUUUUUUAUAAAAAAUAUACUAUAGUGAUUUUGAUAUAUGUAAAAUAAAAAAAUAAUUGAAAAAUAUGAUCACGAAAAACGUAAAAAUUUUUUGAGGAAAAAUGGCUUUUCCAAACAAUUGCUGAAACUUUUUUGAGGUGUUGAUUAUGGUGGAAGAACGGUGGCUUUUAGGUAAGAGCCUGAGAUUUGGUAUGGGCUUGUGAACUAAAGGGUAUCUUAACUGCUUGAAGAAGAGUAAGUUCUGACAGUGGAUCCCUCAAGAAUUUGUCAUCCAUAAGUUAAUAAUUAUCAACCAACGUACAUAGUAGUUAACAAAAUAUACCUGUUCUUGUUCUCAGGUUUUCACUUUUCGGCAUAAGAAACCCACAAAAACACUACAAAUUUGUAGCAAACAGUACUGGGACGGAGAGUGGAUUAAUCCGGAGAAGAGAAGGGGGCGUCGGCAAUCCUGUGUUUUAAAACUCGGACCGGACUGGCCGGUUCGACUGGUCGAACCAGGAAGUCGAACUCGGAACCGGACAAGUGUUCAGUCCGAGUCAUGUUUAAAAACCAGGUAAGUAAAAAAUCGGUCAAAAUCCGGGUUUGACCGGAAAAAACCGGAUUUUCCGGUUCAAACAGUUUUUUUUUUUUAAAAUAAACUUUUUUAAUAUUAUGUUUUGACCCCUAGAUUGUUAAAAAUUAUUAAUAUACCUCAAAUAUUUCAUACUUUAUCAAUAUUUUCUUAAAGUUUGGUAUUGUUUUUCAAUUAAGUCCAUAAUUUUAAUUCUAAACUUGUUAAUGCUCAUUAAAUAAUAUAAAUUGUUAAUUGAUUGUUCUAAUUUCUUUGUAUUUUCUUGUUCAAUAUAUUUAAAUUAUCAAAUAUAUAUGAAUAUACCUUUAUUAAUAUUAACAUGUUAUUAGGUAUUUUAUAUAUAAUAUUUUAAUUUUUAAAUAAUUUUUAUUUAUGACGUCAUCCGAUUCAACCCCUAUUGAACCCGAUUGAAUCCAUUGACCCCUGACCCCUAAGUUUGAUCGAGUCGAUACCUGGUUCGGUUCUGAAAACACAGCGGCAAUCACCUGGACUUGGUUCAUAUUACACGCCCUGCUGUUUUGCUAAAUCAGUGUGUGAUGGAAUAAUCAGGCCCCUCCCUCGACAGUUUCAUCUAUGGUAGAAAGCUGACUCAUGUGUGCAUGGUGGGAAGAGCAAAGGAAAUUUGGCCAAGACAUUAUUGUGGGGCUGGGCAGGAUGCAGCUAUUAAAUGAACUACUGGAUAUCGGGGUUGAUUAUGGGUCCCAUUGUAUUUCUAGGAGAAAUAAAAUGCAAGUCCCUCAACAACUCAUGGGCACUCAUUUGCACCCAAAAAAUUUGGCAUCAACCGGGGAGCAGCUCCCCAGGCCAAAUUGGUCAAAUGCAAUAAUCCUUGGAGAUAUGUGGAAAUGAAGUCAUGUGUACUCCAAUCUUAAACUAUAAAUGCUUACCUGAUGAAAAGUUAUAACUGUUUAAAUUUAAUUAUUAGUUGACUUAGAUGAGUAAUUAUAUGCAUAAAUAAUUAAAAGAAAUUAAUUUUAUAUAAAUUUAAUUUUUACAAAAAUAAAUUUAUUAUAAAUUUAUAGCAAUUUGGCAAUUACAAUACUUAGGGUAGUUAUAUUGGCAAAAUGUGAUUAAGUAAUUAGAGCAAAAAUUAAAAGGUUUUCCCUAAGGAUAAAAUUGAAAGUCUAGAAAAUGACAUUAAAAAGCUUACACUAACUGUGAUCCCUCUAACUUUUUAUAUUGCAUAGAUAGUGGCUUUUUAACUGGAAUCAAAAUUAUAGAUGAAUAAUUAGAAACAUAAUUAACAAAGUGUUACAAAAAAAAAAAAAACCAGAAUCGUGACAUAAUUAACGUGGUAGAUUUUAAUUUAAAUUUAGAAAUUAAAUAAGUAAUCUUAUACGCAACAUGGUGACUUUCAAAUCGAUAUCAAAUUUGUAGAUGAGUAAUUAUAAAUAUAAUUAACAUAGUACACCAAGAAACUAGAAUUGAGAUUAUAGAUAAAAUAAUCACAAACAUAAAUCACAUAAUACAAAAGUUUCAGAGAUUGAACGUUUGAACUAUUGAAAUAACUAGAUAGUUACCAACUUAAGUUCUAACUCCGCAACUAGUUGUAUUGGAUAACCAAUUAUAGUAAAAAUCAAAAUUUACUCUUAAAAGUAAGUGUUGAAUUAAAAGAUUUUGUUGUGAUAAGGAUUAUCUAAUGAGAGCAAAUCCAUUGAAACAAACAAGCAACGAUAUCUAGAUAAAUGUCAAUUACAAUCUCGUAUUCAAAUGAAUAUACAUAUCCAAACAAUGCACUUAACGAUAAAGUAAAGAGGUGAGACCCAACACAUUAUUUAAAACACAAACAUUGUUUAGAGUAGUUACACUAGUUAUAUUGGCAAAAUGUAAUUACGUAGUCAGAGCAAAAAUUGGUUUUUCUUUAAGGAUAAAAUAGAAAGUUUGAAAAAUGACAUAAAAAUGUUUACACUAACUACGAUCUCUCUAACUUUAUAUGUUGAAUAGAUAGUAGCUUUUUAAUUAGAAUCAAAAUUAUAGAUGAUUUAUUAGAAACAUAAUUAACAUAGUACUUCAAGAAACUAGAAUCGUGACAUAAUUGACCUAGUAGAUUUUAAUUUAAAUUUAGAAAUUAGAUAAGUAAUCUUAUAUGUAACAUGGUGACUUUUAAAUUAAUAUCGAAUUUGUAGAUGAGUAAUCAUAAACUUAAUUAACAUAGUACUUCAAGAAACUGGAAUUGAGAUUGUAGAUAAAAUAAUCAUAAAUUUUAGAAGAAAAUACUCUCCUUUUUGAAUAAUAAAAAAUUUAGAGUAGCAAGUAUUAAUCUCUUUUCCUUGGUAAUCUUAUUAAUAUUGAAAAAUAUAUAUAAAGAUUAGGAGGGGGAGUGGGAGUGAGAGAGAGAGAGAGAGAGAGACCUAGAAUGUGUCUUAUGCACUAAUAUAAUAUUAAGUACCAAUCAUUCAUUGACUUUUCUUUUUCUUUACUUACAAUUGAUUAUUAAUUCAUUUUGCAUACUCUCAAAACAUUAAGUUUAAAAAAAUUACUCAUGGUUUGGCGAUUGCAUCGCACAUUUCAUGAAUUUUCACAAAAAAAUGAUCUACACAAAUUAUGGCAUGCAUCUAGGUAAUUAGUGUAUACACUAUCAAUUUAAUUUAGAUUAGUCUUUUUUUAUACCAUCCAUCCAAUAUUUGGGAGCAUCACUAAGUGUUGUUAAUACACAUUUUUCAUCUUUUAAAUUCCUUUUGUAUCUUACUAUUAAGAGUAUUUAAUUUUUCCUCACAUAUAUAAAAAUUAUGGUUUCUUGAGUAGUUUUGUUAAUUAAUUAUUUACUAGUUACUCGCCCUCCUUUCUGUCCCUUUCUUUUUUUUAAGCACUUCAUUUGUAAAAUUUCAAUUAAUGUUAGUAAUUAGCAAAUAAGUAAAUACCGUACAAAAAUCAUCAUAUUAUAAAAAUUCUUUUACAAAUUAAAUUUCAAAUUCAAAAACCAAUUGUCAUGAAAAAAUACAUUUUUAAAUGACCAUAAAAUUAAUUACUUCUACAUACAUAGGGAAACUUAAUGCAACAAUGGUACGAAUUUAAGUGAUUCUUUGACUUUUGUUCUUUUAUUUAUUUAUUGCUUAAGUUUAUCAAUUAUUGAUCCAUUUUUCACUCUCUUAUAAUAUUCUACUUGUUUGGAUUGUAAGUUAUUUGGAAUAUUUUUACUGUAACACUUUUUAUGACGUGAUGUAUGUGAGAUAAAAAGCUAAUUGGGAAGAUAAAAAGAUAUAUUAAAAAUUAUAAUAAUGAUGUAAGCAAAUAAAAUUGAAAAAAUAAUACUUAAUCCAAACAAACCUUAUUAAGUUUAAAAGAGUUAGCAUCUAUACCAACCAAUUUAUAUCGAUAUUGUUGUCCACUACUUCAGGUAAUAUAAACUUUGCCGGUUACCUUUGGCCCUUGUCAUCUUAGCAAUAGUUGAUCUGACUUUCCACCAUAGAAGCAACCCUACCUCAACAAUAAUGGAAUUAGCUGCCACGCACGUACGUACCUAUGCAUGAAAACUGACUUCAUAGCUUUAUAGCUGUCCCCUCCGUGAAUAUGAAUAUGAAUCAGAAUCUGAAUCAGUCACUCAGGACUUUAUUAUCUCUGAACGAACGCCCAUAAACAGCCCCUGAAACACUAAAUUCUGGCAGCUGCUCUUUGUCGUGAUGCCAAAAAUGGUCCUUGGAACAUUAAUUACGUGAAACACUACAUUCUGGCAGCUGCAGCUCUAGCUCUCUGUCGAAGAUGCCAAAAAAAAUUAUCCUGGCCUACUUAAAUCAAUUUUGAACCAAUUAAUUUGCAUCAAAUUCCAUGACUUGCAUUUUUCUCUCGAUUUUUUUAUGAAACUCUUUAGAUUUAUUCCUCUCUUUGAAUAUAAAAUAAAUUUUAUCGUGUUUGAUAAAAAAAAUUUAAAUCAAUUUUGUUUUAACUCUCUGUCUAAUCUUCAAGGAUGCCGUGUCACGACUAUCGCUGUGCUUCCUCUCUCCUCUCCGCCAUGUCUGAACUCUGAAGUCUCAACUCCUCCUUUCCUCACUUUCAGUUUCAACCACAAGUCACAAGGCUUCAACAACCUACCACUCUCAUCUCCUCCUCCUCAUCAUCAGGCCUGAGAAUUCUUCCUUUUUUUUUUUUUUUUCCCUUAUCUUCUUUGUCCUCCAGAAGCCCACUUUAAUAUAUAUUUUUUUGGUAAGUAGCCCACUUUAAUUAGUAUUAUCCUCACGAUAAGUUAGAUGUUUGAACAGACCAUAUUAUUUUGGAAUGCAUUUUUAAAUUAAAGGAAUUAAAAUUAAAUCGAUGAUCUUACAUCAAAGAGAUUUGUCCCAAAAAUAUAUAUAUAUAUAUAUGGGAUGGGGAAGUCGAUUUGGCUUAUAGCAAUAAAAUACUCCUACAAACUUGUCGGUGGUUGGUUGAAAGUUGAAAUAUCUGGCAGAUAUAAUUUGCAGAUAUGUUUGUGUGUCCUCUGAGUGAGAAAGAGCAGGAGAAGGAUGGAGAAACAAUAGGAAGCAAAGUUGGAGGGCUGGGGACUAGCUAAGAUUGGUGGAGAAGGUGAUGAUGGUGUUCGGUAGUUGGCAAGGAUUGAGUUAAAGUGCAUUGUGGAGGAAGUCUCAACCAAUUUAUCGUGCUUCCUCUUUCCUCUCCGCCAUGUCUGAAGUCUCAACUCCUCCUUUCCUCACUUUCAGUUUCAACCACAAGUCACAAGGCUUCAACAACCUACUACUCACAAGGAGGUUGAUGUUUGAACAGACCAUAUUAUUUUGGAAUGCAUUUUUAAAUUAAAGGAAUUAAAAUUAAAUCGAUGAUCUUACAUCAAAGAGAUUUGUCCCAAAAUAUAUAUAUAUAUGGGAUGGCGAAGUCGAUUUGGCUUAUAGCAAUAAAAUACUCCUAAGAUUGGUGGAGAAGGUGAUGAUGGUGUUCGGUAGUUGGCAAGGAUUGAGUUUAAGUGCAUUGUGGAGGAAGGAACGAUCAUCAAAGUUUUCCGACUCCAAAUGGUGUCGUUUAGUUUUAAAGCGAAAACCUUGGGCAGGACGUUCUGUGUCCGUCCGUCCAAAUGGGGUGAAAGUUCUCGCGGGGUAUAAGCCUCACAAAUUUUUAUUUUUAAAUAUUUUAAAAAUAUAAAAAUACACACACAGACACACACAUAUAUAUACAUGUGUGUAUGUAUAAUAUUAAAAAUACCCAAAAAGAUAAAGAAAAAUUAUAACCUUACGUGACUAAAAUAAAACCUGCUUGUGUAACUAAUGUCAUCCCAUGAACAGAAACCCAACAAACCAUUGUAAAGUUCGAUGAUUAUUUGUAUAAAAAACUUGUUGUCAUCCUGCAAACUAAUGAUUACAGUUGCGAAAAUCCUUUUCUAGGUACCUGUGAGUUUUGACUAUCAAAGCAAGUGUCUUUCUCCUAUUUCUUUAGAGUAUCCUCAAUGUGAGGCACAAAGUCUUGCGAAAACUCUUUGUAUCACUAAAUUCCAAACUGAUAUCCAUGUUUGCCAACUUAAAUUUAUAGGCUGAUCUAAGAAAAGUUUUCAGAAAUUGCAAGUUCAGUUUGAGGGUUUCAACUUCUUUUAGGCAAGUGAAGGGAAAAUCCAGUUUGGAUGUUUUUCUGAAACUUUAAAAAAAGGGAAAAAGUACUGGGAUUUUAAAUGUAUAUAUUUUUUACGCCUCAAAAAAAAAAAAACUCCUUAUCAUUACUUCCUUAUCUAUAUCCUACUUUUCCAUUCUUUUUUUCAACAAUUAAUUAUCUUCCUUUUUUCACUUUCUUAGUUAUAGCAACUUUUAAUGAAUUGUAUAUGAGCCAUUCUAUGUAUGUAAAUUGUGUUCAUGAAUCAUCAAUAUCCGUCAAUAUUUCUACAAAUUUAUUGCACAAAAUGUUUACUACAAUUUUUUAGAUCUUCAAACUAAAUUCUUUUGCAUCUUCAAAAACAAAAUCUUUACUUUAAUUUUAUAAUUACCAAAAGUAAUUUUCAAAUUAACAGAAUCUUUCAACAAAUUAUUUGUACUCCCGCUGAAGUAACGGUUAAGAACUAGUACAAUUCAUGUUCUUCUUGUUUAAUUUUCACCACACCUCCACAUAUAAAUUUGAGAAGCAGAUUGGAUGACAAUUUUUGAAGUCAAUUUUUGAAGCUAUGCAUGCAUCCAUCAAAACGGUGUCCAUUUACUCGUAAACUUUUCAAAGUCUUAUAAUUAAUUUCGUUGAAUUAAAUGAAUUGUAUGAUGCAAUUGCAGAGAAUCUCCAUCCAAUUGGAAACAUUUUCCAGACUACGUGUAUACAAUUAAUCCAUCGUUUGGAAUUUUGUACCUCAAUCAUACACGGAAUUUUGAAUUUAACGUCAUUGCCCAAUACAUGGAAUUUUGAUCUAUUCUUUUUUCUUGAAGGCAACACUUUUUGAUGUCACAUUAAUGUCAAAGAACGUCUUCAUUGGAGAGAGAAAUUUGGAUUAGCUGGAAAAAGUCAAAAAAGAAAAAAGAGUUUCAUACAUACAUGAUACAUCUCCUUUGGGAGAAACUAAUAGAGGUCAUCCAAUUAAGGUGUUUGUCACGCUACAUGUAACUCACUUUAUGUAUAAAUGCUUUUGAAUGCUCAAAUAUCUUAUUCUCAUGCUUUAGAAUUUGUUAUUCUCAUGGAAAACUCUUGUUUGGAUUGUAUUUUUUUGGAUUUUUUUAUUAAAAAAUUACUGUAACGAUUUGAUAUAUGUGAAAUAAAAAGAUGAUUGAAAAAUGUGUUUACGGAAUAUGUAGCAAUUUUUUUUUUGAAAUUGCUCUCCAAACAUUGAAAAAAAAAAAAAGAAAUUGCAGUGUAUUCCUCGCUACACAGUGUAUUCCUCGCUUCAUUUUUCUGGUGUUUGUUUAACUUUUGAAAUAUUUUCACUUUUAUCUCUAUCUUUACUUUCUACACAUUAUAACUACAUACUUCUUCUCAUGCAAAAUAAGAAAAUUUAUCUCAUUGUUUAACUUUAAAAAAUCUUGGAGAAAUGUAUAUAUGAAUAAAAAAUAUCUCCUUAAGUAAUAAACAAAUUGCUGGCCAUUUAGUAUCAAAUAUCAAUCACAUGCAAUGCUUAUUGUGACAUAUAUCUUGCACUCUCACUGCUGAAAGUUUUUCUAGAAAAGAAUGUCCAUAUUAUACAUAAUUAAUUACUAGCAUAGGAUGGGCAGGAUGAGGUUUUUUUUUUUAUUUUGAAUAUACUAGGGGAGGGUUGGGUUGGGUUGGGUGGUACGGGGGAGGAAGUGUAAGGAAGAGGUCUUGGGUUCAGUAAGUUUGGAAGGGAAGUUGUUUUCCAUAAGAUGAGUGAACAUAUUUUACAUAAUAAAAUGUUUUCAGUAACUUUUGUGCAACCAAACACGGGAAAUUAGGAAAAUAUUUUCACCCGAAACAAACGGACCCUACAUGUAACUCACUUUAUGUAUAAAUGCUUUUUGAAUGCUCAAAUAUCUUAUUCAACGAUGUAAACUUUUGAAUGAUCAAAUUUUAAUAAGGAACAAGUACAUAAAAAAAGAAAAAUCAAAGUCUGUACAAAUAUUUUUUUUUUUCACAAAGUGUGCACCAUUUUUGGUAACCAUCCAACACGCAUUGCGGACUUUUUUUUUUAAGUAUUAAUUUUGUCCCUCAUGCUUUAGAAUUUGUUAUUCUCAUGGAAAAUUCUUGUUUGGAUUGUAUUUUUCUGGAUUUUUUUUAUAGAAAAAUUACUGUAACGAUUUGAUAUAUGUGAAGUAAAAAGAUGAUUGAAAAAUAUGUUUACGGAAUAUGUAGCAAUUUUCCUUUGAAAUUGCUCUCCAAACAUUGAAAAAAAAAAAAGAAAUUGCUCUCCAAACAAGGCCUUAGAUCUUAACGUUGCUUACUUCUUUAACGUUGACCUAUCAACUUUAAGUUAUGUGACAAAUUUCCAAUCCUUUUAGUGAUUUUAUGCCAAACAAUUUUAAAUUAAUUUAGAUUACAAAAGAGAGGAUCGUAAAUCAAAAGGUCAAUUUCACAACUAAUUGUUCACUGAUUUUACGGCAAACAAUUUUAAAUUAAUUUAGAUUACAAAAGAGAGGAUCGUAAAUUGAAAAAUCAAUUUCACAACUAAUUGAUAGAGAAUCAAAAUUUCCAUGAAUUCAGCACAAAUUUUCCACAUGAUGGAUGGACUAGACCCAACACGUCGGUGAAAUUUCUACCCAACUUGGAGCAUUAUAUGUGGCCGUCGAGAUUUAUUUUGGCUUUCUUUGCUUCUCCUAAUUUUAAAUGUAUAUUUGAAAUUCUUGAUCUGUUUAUUUUUCUUUUAGCCUCAAUCUUUUUAUAGUUUGAAAACCACCCAAACUUUUUUGUUUAUUAAAAAUUUAUCAAGUCAGAAUAAAAAGAGUUUAUCGAGUCUCAUUGAAUGUGUUAAACAAGGUUUUCACGACAUAAAGAAGUACAUAUAUACACAACUAUAAAUUAAUGUUGUAUACAUUAUUACUGUAAAAAAAAAAAAAAUUUUCUAACAGGUGUAACUAUAUGAUAUAUGAGCAAAAAUUGAAUUUAAAAUUUAAACAGUGAUAAUAUGAUAUUUAUCUAAACCUACUUGUAUAAAAAAAAAAUUUAUACGCUCCAUAUAAACAAUGUAAAGAGUUUUCAUGAAACAAAGUCAAAAAAUUUUUUUAAUUGAAGAACAAUCGCAAGCUCAUCUACGUAGCAAAGUGUGUGGAGCCUAUUUUGUAAGUUAUCAAUUUUUGAUUGGUUUAUUCUUGGACAUGGAUUAAUCCAACCAUAAGUGUGUGGAUCCCAUAUUUUGCAUGUCAUCAAUUUUUGGUUGGUUUUAUUCUUGGACAUGGACCAGUCCAACCAGCCAUUAACUAAGCGGUCCAUACCAAUAAUUCUGGGUAAAUCUUUUUUUUUUUUUUUUUAGCAUGUGCUUUUUUUGAUGAAAAAGAUAGACACAUUUUAUUAAUGAUGUUACAGGAAAUCGUUCAUGAGUUGCUUGACAAAAUUUGGAAGGGAAUUUCAAAGAGCUUAAAAAAGAUUAGCACUCUUAGCAUGAUGGGUUAAAGUAUGAGCUGCCUUAAUUCGCUUCUCCUGGAAUCCAUUGAUUCAUUGAAUAUCAAUACAAAGCUGAUCUAAUAAUGCUAAAUGCACGUCCUCAAUAAUUGGACCUGAAUCAGACACGAUGUCUUCUUUGUCCUGUCUUCUUUGCCAUGAAUAAAUCUUAUAAUUGAGGCUGCAUCUCCCUGCAAUUUUGGAUCAUUUGUGGGCCUCAAAAUCAAAUAAUUCCAGGGAACAUCAGAAGUCAAUCGGAACGAAUAUCACAAUGGACUUGAUUGGAACGAAAAUGCCUCACCAAUCCCACAAUCCAUUCCAGUUGAAGUUAAGAUCAGCAAUAUCGUUAAUUAGCCCCUUAAGCUUUGUUUAAUCAUAGCUUACGCCUAUUGUCUUACAUCUGAAGCAGAUACUCUUUUGGUUUUUUCAUCUUAAGCAGAUACCAUUUGCUAUAUCGCAGUCAAUUAAAUAGUUAAACCAUUUGCUUGCUAGACUGACGAGGGAAAUUAACAAUAUAAACCACUGAACAGAAAAUCUUUUUUUUUUUUUUUUUAUAAUAAAAUAGAAUAAUUUUAUUAAUCAUGAGAUUGAAUCUACAACAAGUGCAGAACAAAUAAAAGAUGGAGGAGAGUUUCUCCAUAUACAAGAAUCUGAAAAAUUAAUAGCAUACUUAGCAAAGUUAUGAGCAGGAACAUUAAACAACCUAGAAAUCCACGAAACUUCCCAACACAUGAACUCUUGACAUAAGACAAUGGUAUCAUCAAUCAACAAGCCACAUGAUGAAUCAUCAGAUUCCAAACGGUUCAGCAUUUUGAUGACUUUUUGUGAAUCUCCUUCCAAAACCAUUUUAUUGAAACCCAAAGAUUGUAGUAAUUGAGCCGCAUGUUUGGCCGCAUAUGAUUCAACCACAUUUGGUUCCAAUAUCCCAAGAAUUUUCUUGGAGAGGCCAGCAAUGAAACUUCCUGUAUCAUCUCGAAUAAUAACACCAACUCCUGAUGAUUUAUCAUCCAUAAACACAGUUCCAUCAAAGUUUGCCUUAACAAAACCUGCAUUGGGUCGUAUCCAAUGACCUAUUGAUAACCUUGAUUGAAGAGAGGUAGACGUAUCGCACUUAUCUUUGGAAUUUGUUUCAUGGAAUUGAUUUAGGAAUGCUAUGGACAGGGAGACCAAGCUAAGAGGAUCUCUGUAGGGCCCAUCAAAGAUUGCUCCAUUUCGAUUAUUCCAUAAAUUCCAAAGAAUAACACCUACCAAUUCCAUCUCUUUGCUUGAUAGUUGCCAAAGCUGGUUGGGAAGCCAAGACGUAACCUGAUCAGCCGAUUGCAAUUGAACUUUCUGGCUUAAGAAACUAAGUGCCCACGAUUGCACAGCUACAGGACAAGUUAAGAAGGUAUGAUCAAUAUCAUCAACUGGAGCGAGACAUAAAGGGCAAGAUGUAUCUAAAUGGAGCCCUUUAGUAUUGAGUUUUGUGCUGGUUGGUAGUAUAUCUUUACAAGCCCUCCAUAAGAAAAUUUUAAUUUUCUCAGGAAGAUUCAAGUGCCAAAGCCGAGACCAAACACUGUGCUUUAGAGUACUACUACUUGAUGGCAAAUUCUCCCAAUUAGAAGAUCGCUGCUUGAUCAAGUGAUACGCACUCAUCAUAGUAAAAGAUCCAUUCUUUGAAAAGUGCCAAAUUAGCUUAUCUCUAUUGUGAGUGUCUCCAAUUGGAAUGCUUUGAAUUAACUCAAUCUCCUCGGGCCAAAAAAAUUCUUGCAAUAAGUCAACUCGCCAAAUCUUUCGCUCUUAAUCUAUUAGGCAAUCAACUGUGGAAUUCUCCGGCAAUGCAGUAGACCGCGACACGAUUUUAAAAGUAGAUGGCCGUGGAAGCUACCUAUCUUUCCAGAUUUUGAUAGACUGGCCAGAACCAACUCGCCAUCUGCUUCCUGCUUCAAUAUACUUCCUGACCUCACAUAGUCCGCGCCAAGACUAGGAAGGCCGUGAUCCUUCUUGAACUUGGAAGAAAUCAGUAUUUGGAAAAUAUUUAGUUUUAUAUACCCGAUGAAGAAGGAUAGAUGGUUGUGUAGCAAUACGACCACUGAACAGAAAAUCUAGCAUUUAUAUUAAAUAAAAGAAUUUUACUGAUGCAUAUUAUUUGCUGCAAUCCUUAAACCAUCCAAGCCUAAGAAUUUAAAAUAAAAGGUCUACAUGAAUAAAAUAAAAGAUUGGAGAUUAAAGAUGCUUUAGAAAAAAAAAAGGGGGUUAAUUUAAAGGACUAAAUGAACUACUUGCAAAUUUUUUUUGUCCUUCCAGGUUAAAUGAUUUGUCGUUAAUGGUAUUGAAAUAGUUAAAAAUUAAAAUUAUUGGGACUAAAUGUAUUUUCAUAAAACUUUAAAAGGAGAAAAUGGUGUAACCCCAUAAGUUAGAGGUAUAAAGUGUCAUCUUUUCCAUUUGUAAAAUUUUCAAUUGGUUUGCUGAUUUUCUGUCAAAUAUUUUUACAUUAAUUUGUUUUUCUAUAUGCUGACAAUACAUACUAUCAAAGUCGGAUACAUGACAACUGAUAUGAAUUUGAGUUUGAAAUAUAAAUAUUUUGCAUAUGUAGUAUGCAUCAAACUCCGUUAACGUAUACACUAUUCGGGUACAAAAGAUUAAUCAUAAUUUAAAUUUCAAACGAGAGUGUCGAAGUUGUAGGAUAACGUGAAUCAGCAAAUCAAUUUAACAACUAGCUGCUGCCAAGGAAUCAACAUUUCCAUUAGUUGAAUGCAGAAUAUGUCUCCACAAGAAUAUCUUGAUUUUCCACGGCGGGUCAUUGUCCAGUGCGUAGGACCCAAAAAAAUUCCAAUGGAAAGUUAUAGGUGACAAAUUUCAUAGAACCAAUGUAGAUGGGGAGGCAAAUUUCACACACACAAAUAUGCAUAGGGGAAGAGGAAUAAAUCAGUAAUAUAUUAUUAAUUACACAAAAUAAUAUGGUUCUCAAAUUUCAUUCUUCUCAACUAAUACUAAUAAUAAUAAGACUAGACUAGGUAAUUUGGUAAACAAGUCUUACAAUCACAAGAAAUUUUCUAAUAAAAUACUAAUUUCUAAACAAUAAAACUACUAUAAUUUAAAUCAAACAGAAUUACCAAAACCAUAACAUAAAAUAUUGCUAAAUAAUAAUAUGAAAAUUUCUAUUUUUUAACCUUGAUUUAACAUUGUCGGACACAACACGUUGUCAAGUUAUCUGCAUAACUUAAUCAAGUUUGUUUACUAGUCUUCUUGUCUAAAUGUCGCGUCAUCUUAAUCCAGAUCGGCAGAUUGAAUGACCAGAAUCAAGAUAUUAUCAGUUAAGUCAAGACAUUACUAGGUUGCCUAUCUAACCACCACCACGUUAGAAAAACAAAUUUUAGCAAAGUUAUUCUGUCUUCCAAUAACCCUUUAUCAUUUUUCUCCUAAGCAUAGUGUAUUUUGUUGCACGUUCGAUGACAAAUCGGAAACGAAUAUGCGAAUGCAAACAUAAACCAGAAUUAACUUGUAAAACAAAAGCUACUCACCUCAAAUUAUUGAUUUCAUGCUAGUCUUCGGAAUCCCAUUAUCUAUUUUUUCCAGUUCAUAUCACCAAUCUGUGAGUAUAUUUCCAAUUCAAUCCCUUUUGGAUCGUUUAUGUGUCCCAAUCAAAUAAUGCACCGGAUUUAGCCGUCAGAAUGAGCUUAGAUUAAAAUGCAAAUGCCUCGCCAACUCCAUGAUCCAUAUCCAUUAAAAGAGCUGAAGAUAAGAAAAGUAGAAGAAUAUUGUUAAUUUUGCAUCUUAAGUAGAUUGCUUUUCCUAUAUCGUAGUCAGUUAAAACACUUAAUCUUCACUGGCUCGACUUUUCCAUGAAGACUUUCCGGUCGUCGGCAUUUUAUCACUUUCAUGUAGUUCUUCAAACGCAGAAUGGUGAAAUGAUGCUUUUAAACGUGUUUAAAUGAAACUGCUAAUCUAACCAUACUUUGUCAAAUAAACCAAUAUCAAAAGAAAUCCAAUGGAGCAUCAUCUUCUUUGUACUCCUUCGUCUAUGCUAAUACUGUUGUUAUUCAGUUCUAUUCUUGUGACCAGCCAGUUCUCGUUUGGGAGCAGCAAACAAGCUUAUAAUUAUUCAAAUUUCUCUUGUAUUGAGAGUGAAUGACAAGCUCUUCUUCAAUUCAGAGAUGGGUUAACAGAUGAAUCAAAUCAUCUGUCAUCUUGGAUAGGAGAAAACUGUUGUUCAUGGAAAGGCGUUGGUUACCAUCAAAUCACUGACCGUCUGGUGAAAUUUGAUCUACACAAUGCGAGCCCGUUACGUUCAAAUGAUAUAUUUAUUUACUGAAAAAAUUGCUUGGGAGGCCAAUUAAGUCCAUUUUUGGUCAAUUUAACCAAUUUGCGACACCUAAAUUGAAGCUGGAAUAAUUUUUCAGGAAUCCAAGUUCCCACGUUCCUUGGAUUGUUGAAAAACUUGAGAUACUUAAAUCUCCUGAAUGCAGUGUUCGACGGUGAAAUUCUAGGCCAUCCAGGAAAUCUCUCAUGUUUACAGCAUUUAGAACUUGGAGGUGUAACUCCAUUCUCAAUAAAAAAAAAAUAGAGCUUAGAGAAUCCGUAAAAUAUUCAAUUUAUUUGGUGAUUUCUUGCAGGAAACUCCCAUGUUAAUUUAACUGCAAAAGAGAGGAUCAAAACUUAUUUGUGUAGCAACGUAAAUCAGUAAACAGUUCAUCAAUAUUAUGAUUGCCAAUGCGAUACUUGUCGCCUUCCUGUUACAAGUCUCUUUCCAACGGGGAAAACCUACAGCAUAAAUGUCCAAUUAAUUCAUAAAUCAGAAUUAACUUGUAAUUGCAAUUAUAAGCCGCUCGUCUCAAAUUCUGAUUAGUUUCGUCCUAUUCUUCAGAAUCCCAUUGGAUAAACUCUAUCAUUCCCAUCCAUACAAAGUUGUGUGCUUAGAUUUGCUUUCUCAUCUGAAUUACAGGUCAAUCCGCCGUCACAAUGGGACUUGAUUAGAACGCAAAUGCCUCACCAACCAUAUUCCCAUUGAAGUCACCGUAAUCCAUUCCCGUUGAAGUCAAGAUUAGCAAUAUCGUUAAUUAGCCCCUUCAGCUUUGUUUAAUCAUAGCUUACCAUUGUUGCUUUGUACAUCUUAAGCAGAUGCCUUUUACCAUAUCAUAGUCAAUUAAAUCGUUAAGAGUAAAACUGAUAGUGUAUAUAUCAUCGUCGUUGAAUGCAUGAUAUAUAAUUAAAAUUCAAAUUUUAAAUUCAAAUUUACAUUACUUAUCAUUCAUCCAAGGUUGGUUGACAGGAUAUAUUCCAUCAGUGUAUAAAAGGUUAACCCCAUAGUUAUAUCGUUUCCUUGCUAGACUGUCUGAUGAGGGAAAUUAACAAUAUAAUCCACGAAACAGAAAAGCUAGCACUUAUAUACAUAAAAAAAAUGAAACAGUAGAAGUUGUUUUGGUGGGGAGGGGUGUUGGGUGGGGGGGAGUGAGUGUUUAAGAAAGUUAGAAAAAAAGGGGAAAGAGUAAACAUAUCUAACAAAUAAACAUAAAUUGGAAGAAAGUAAAGGUCAGUUUCUGUUUUAACAAGAACAGUUAAAAUUUUGUUCACGCCCUUUAACGCCACUGAAGGAAGUAAGACAAGAGCAGCUUUGGUAAGAGAAAAAAAUAAAAGGGCUAAAUGGAUGAAAUCAAAGAUUGGAGAUUAAAGAUACUUUGGAUUAAAAAAAAAAGUUAAACUACUAAAUGAACUACUUGCAAAACUUUUUUUUCCCUUCCAAAUUAAUUGAUUUGUCAUUCAUGGUAUUGAAAUAGUUAAAAAUUAAAAAUAUAGUGAAUAACUAUAUUUUUCAAUUGGUUUUGUGAUUUUUUGUCAAGCAUUUUUAUAUUAAAGAAUCUUUUGUACAUUAAUAAUGGAUACUAUCAAGAUUGGAUGCAUGAUAACCGAUAAGAAUUUGAAUUUAAAAUCUAAGUUUUGCAAAUGCAACAAUCAUUAAACUCCAUUAUCCUCUAUAUUAUCAGUUUAUAAAAGAUUAAUCGUAAUUAAUUUAAAUUACAAAUGACAGCGUUGAAAUCGUGUGAUAACGUGAAUCAGCAAAUGAAUUUUACAACCAGCUGCUGAGGAAUGAACAUUUCCAUUAGUUGAGUGCAGAAUAAGUCUCCAAGGAGAUUUUUUUCCAGAAGAAUAUCUUGAUUUUCCACGGCGGAUCGGGACUUCCAUUGGCCAGUGGACUUGCAGUCGUCGGAUGCAACAGACGGUCAAGUUUUCUACGCAAAUUAAUCAUGUUUGUUUACUAGUCUUCUUAUUUAAAUUUCAUUUCAUCUAAAUCUAUAUCAGCAGAUUGAAUGACUAGACUCUUAAAAGAUAGGAAAAUAUUGUAGUAACUAUCGUUAUGGUAACUAAAUAAUUUUUUCCUGAUAUAACGGGUUAUUAUACUUUUAACGAUCAUUUGAUUACCUGUUGGACCUAUCCACCUAAAUAGGAUAAUGCCUAAAACUAAGGAAGUAAGUUUCUCAUCUAAAAUAGUAAGUUAACCAUAAUAAUUAGUAACUUUUGUGUCUCAAAAGGUAAAUUGGAAUAAAUAUAAAACUUACUUUUUAAAGAGAUAAAUUACUAUAUUAUAUCUCAAACAUACUUUUGAGAGAGUAAGUUUAGUUCAAGUAAUAGUAAGUUUUUAUACAUAAAUAGUAAUUCUUACUUAUAACAUAUUAAAUUUGAUUAAUGACCAAAACUUACUAAUUUAUGGCACAAAUGUACUAUUUGGCUUAAAAAACUUAUAACAAACCAAUACUAGGAAGUUUAUUUGAAAUAACAAUAAAAUGUUUUAUUAAUGAUUAAAUCUUAGUACCUUAGUUAGUAAGUACUCGUAAUAUACUUGUAUAAUACAUGAUUAUAUGUAUAAUUUAAAUUUUUUUGUAUUUAUAUAUUUUAAAAUACUAUGAAAAAUAUUUGGACCCUUCACAUAACCUUAUAAAAUAAUAAAAUUUUGUCGUAUUAUAAUUUUGAAUAAUUUUUGAAAAUUUUCAAAGUUUGGAUAAUAAUAACAACACAUCUUCCUAGUUAUAUAUGGAAUAUCACUUAUCUAUGUAAUUUCUAUAAUUUAAAACCUAUUAAUAUAAUAAGAUGACAAAGUUUUAAUAUAUUUAUUGUCUGGGACACAAGAAAUAAUAAGAAUUAAACUUGUAUUAAUAUAGACCUAACAAAAAGAGAGAAAUAGUGUAACAAUUAAUACAACAAUAAAAAUAACAUAAUUAGUAUAACAAAAUUAGUAUAAUCUGGAAUUUUUUUCUCUGGAGAUUACUCACGAAUAUAAGAUCCAACCACUAAACAAAAAUCACAUGCAUAUAUAAUCUAUUGUAUAAUUUAAAUUAAAUUUAGUUCAUGUACAAAAUGAUCCUAAAAUAAUUAGCACACUACAAUACCAUAUUAUUUUAACAAAAAAGUUUUUUUUUUGCCAAAAGUCUCCAAUAUCCAUGACAUAUGUAUGAGAGAUAUUUUACCAUAUUUUUAUCUCUCUUUUUUUCCCAUAUUUGUAUCUCAUGUCUAAUCAUUGAUGUUAAUUUGAGGAAGAAUAUUAUGUAUAAUAAAAUUAUUUUGAAUUUAAUUAACAAGUUGAGAUUUUUUUAAAAAUAAAAGUGAAAUAUUUUGGGAACUUAUUUUUUGUUUUCCCAAAAUUAAAAGAUUGCAAUUUUUUACAAAUUGUUGCCAUAACAUUUCAUUUUCUAGACUAAUUUUUAUCAAUGUAAAAUUAGUUUAGUUAACAAUAAUUGAAGUUUUGUUGGUCCGAGGAUUGGCAUGCUAUUGUUGUUAUUUUACAUGUAAAUAUAUUACCUAAGUAAUAAAAUAAACAAUAGCUACUUAAAAAAAGGAAAUAGGUGCUCAAUUGAUUGCAUUCAAACUACGAAUUCUGUUAAUGAAUAAUUGCUAAAUUAUAAUUUUAUUUACAAGGAAUCAAUAUGCAUCAUAUAUUGACCAGGACUAAAUUACUGAUUACUUAACAAAUUAUAUCUAAACACAUGAUGUGAUGUAUAUUGCAUUUGGUCACCUUUAUACUCAUACCAUUUUCUUUUCUUCCUAUUUAUAUUUUAAAAGUGCAAAAUUCUCUUGAUUAUAUUAGUGAAAAUGCAUAAAAUCUUUUACAAAAUUAUUUCAAUUUAUUUACAAAAUAUUAGUACUUUUAUAGAAACAAUGCAUUGUAGGAAUGGUUUACUAAUUUUUUAGUAAACAUAACUAUUGCAUUAAAAAGUUAAAAAAAACUUGAUUUUAUUAUGCUUUAAUUAGGAGUGCUUUUGAAGAAAAGAAUUUGGGGAUUAAUUUCUCUGAUUCAAGAAUUUUUAGAGAUUGUAAUGAUCAAAAGAAAAAGAAUUUUUAGAAAUUGUAACUCUCUUAUUAUUUGAUAUAAUAAAUUUGAUAUUUGUGCAAGUUUUCAUGUCUUUUUAUUUUCGGCAAUGAAAUUUGUGCUUACAGUUAAAUACAAUUAUGGUAAAAUAUCCCUCAUAUGUAUGUCAUGGAUAUUUGAGACUUUCAGUAAAAAAAUUUUUUGUUGUUCCGUUUGGAUUGGUUAUUUUUUUAAAAACAAGUUUUUCAAAUACAAUGUUAUGGUAAUACACAAUAACUCAAAAAAUAUCUUAUCCAUACAAUAUAUCAAAAAUUUCAAAAAAAAUUUUAUAGUAAAAAUUUUUCAUAUACAUUGUUACAGUAAAAUUUUUCAAAAACACCUCUAAAAACAGUUAAUCGAAACGGAUUAAUAUUAUAGUGCGCUAAUUAUUUUAGAACCGUUUUUUACGUGAACUGAAUUUAAUUUAAAUUAUACAAUAGAUUAUAUGUGCAAGUGAUUUUCAUUUAAUUGUUGGAUCUUUUUUUUUUAUGAACAAUCUCCCAAGGAAAAAAGUCCAGAUCAUACUGAUUUUCUUAUAUUAACUGUUAUACUAAUUUUGUCAUUUUUAUUGUUAUACUAUUUCUCAUUUUGUUUGGGUUUUAACUCUUAUUAAUUCUUGUGUCCCAGAUGUAAAUUUAUUAAAACUUUAUCAUCUUAUUAUAUUCAUAGGUGUUAAAUUAUAAAAAUUGUGAUAUACAAACAAGUGAUAUUCUAUAUUUAACUAGGAAGAUUUGUUGUUAUUGUUAUCCAAACUUUUAAACUUUUCAAAAAUUGAAAAUUGAAAAUGAUUAAAAACUUAUAAUAUGACAAAAUUUUAUUAUAUAUUUUACAAGAUUAUCUAAAAAAUGAAACUACUUUUCAUAGUAUUUUAAAAUAUAUAAAUACAAAAAAAUUUUAAAUUAUACAUAUAAUCAUUUAUUAUACAAGUAUAUUACGAGUACUUAAUAACUAAGGUACUAAGUUUUAAUUAUUAAUAAAACAUCUUAUCAUUAUUUCAAUUAAACUUCCUAAUACUAGUUUGAGAUAAGUUUUUAAUGUAAAAUUGUACAUGUAUUCCAAAAAUUAGUAAGUUUUGAUCAUUAAUCAAAUUUACCAUGUUAUUAGUAAAAAUUACUAUUAUGUAUAAAAACUUAUUGUUAGUUGAACUAAACUUACUCUCUAAAAAGUAAGUUUGGAAUAUAAAGUAGUAAUUUAUUUAUUUAAGAAAUAAGUUUAAUAUUUAUUCCAAUUUACCUUUUGAGGUAUAAAAAUUACUAAUCUAUUAAUGUUAACUUACUAUUUUAGAUGGGAAACUUACUUCCAUAUUUUUAGGUGUUAUCCUAUUUAGGUGGAUAGGUCCAAUAAGUAAUCAAAUGGUCGCCAAAAGUGCAACAACCUGUUAUAUUAGAUAAAAACUAUUUCGUUACCAUAACUAUCGUUACUAAAGCAUUGUCUUAUCAGCUCAAGUCAAGAUUAGCUUGUCUAUCUAGCCUACUCCAUUUUUAAUUUCAUGCUAGUCUUCGGACUCCCAUAAUCUAUCUUUCCAGUUCCUAUCACCCAUCUGUGAUUAUAUUUCCAAUUCAAUCUUUUUUCGAUCAUUUGUGGGUCCCAAUCAAAUAAUGCCUCACCAACUCCAUGGUCCAUACCCAUUAAAAAAGAAUAUCGUUAGCUAGCCUCUUGAGGUUGUUUAAUCACAAGAAAAGUAAAAAGGUUCUUUUGCAUCUUAUUGAGAUAAUUUUGUGUCCGUGACCCUAAACCCUAAGCCCUAAAAGAUCGUUAGCUAGCCUUUUGAGGUUGUUUAAUCACAAGAAAAGUAAAAAGGUUCUUUUGCAUCUUAUUGAGGUAAACUGGUGGAAUUACCUUAGAUUCUAUGUGCGUGUGUUUCUUUGCGCUGUUGAAAGAAAAAGGAAAAUAGGAGAGGAAUGUCAAUGUGAGUAUGGAUUCUUAGUCAAGGCUCUUAAGCUUCCUGCGUUCCCUUUCCCCCAACUCCUUGUUCCUACAUCGAUUAUGAGAGGUGUGUGUGUGUAGGAUUUAAGGUCCGUGAGUUUACCCAGAAGUCAGCAAUUGUAUUUUGGAUAAACUGGUGGAAUUACCUUAGAUUCUGUGUGCGUGUGUUUCUUUGCGCUGUUGAAAGAUAAUUUUGUGGAAAAAGUACUGUAACACUUUUUUGAUAUGAUGUAUGUGAGAUAAAAAGGUGAUUGAAAAAUAUAUUGAUGAUACAAACAAAUCAAUGUGUGUAAAUAAGGUAUAAAUAAAGUGUAAUUUUUUACAAUCCAAACACAUAUUGUAGAUAGUUAAAUACUUGAUUGUUUGCUGGCUCAACUUUUCCACCAAGACUUCCGGUCAUCACAUAGUUUCUUCCAACGCAAAAUGGUGAAAGUGAUGCUUUUAAACUUGUAUAAAUGAACCACUUCUCUGAGCAUACUUUAUCAUAUAGUUCAAUAUCAAAAGCAAUCCAAUGGAGCACUAUCUUCUUGGCACUUCUUUAUCUUUACUACUAGUAAUGUUCUUAUUCAGUUCUAUUCUCGUCACCAGCCAUUUUCCGUUUGGCUGCAGCAAACAAGCUUAUACUCAUUCAAAUGUCUCUUGUAUCGAGAGUGAACGACAAGCUUUUCUUCAAUUCAGAAAUGGGUUGAUAGAUGAAUCGAAUCAUCUGUCAUCUUGGAUAGGAGAAGACUGCUGUUCAUGGGAAGGUAUUGGUUGCCACAAAAACACUGGUCAUGUGGUGAAACUUGAUCUACAAAAUACGAAGCCGUUACACUCAAAUAAUGUAUUUACUUAUUGCAAAAAUUGCUUGGGAGGCCAAUUAAGUCCAUUUUUGGUCAAUUGGACCAAUUUGCAAUACCUGGACUUGAGCAAGAAUAAUUUUUCAGGAAUCCAAGUUCCCACAUUCCUUGGAUUGUUGAAAUACUUGAGAUACUUAAAUCUUGCAAAUGUAGUGUUUGACGGUGAAAUUGUAAUGGUACUAUUAGUUAUGAUCUGAAUAGGCUAAGAAGGUAGAAGGGUGUAGCAGAGAGAACGCAAGGAAGGGGGAAAAUUGUGAGAGAGAAGAGAGGAAAGGAUAGUGUGACAGGAAAGGAAGCUGAAUUUGUUAUAUCUCAUUACAUGCCUUUUCGUCCCCUUUAGGCUUUAUUUAUACAGAAUGCUCCCUCUAGAUCCUUCUGCAACUAGCCAAUCUCAUAACAGAAUGAGCAUACAUACAUGCAUGCCUUUGACAGCUAGCUGACUAACUAAAUAACGGAAAUGCUAACUAACUACCUGAAAAGGAAAGCAUGGCAGAUACAUUUCUGCUCAGAAAUAUCUAGCGAGAAUAUCUAGGGUCAUUACAACACCUCCCCCUUGAGAAUCCUAGUCACUAGGAUUUGAGCUGGAAAUCUGGAAACUGUGAUUGUAUUACCGUGACAUCCUCCCAAGUUGAGUCUUCAGUGCUUAGGUUCACCCAUUUGAUCAACACUUGAGUCACCUUCUGCCUUUUCCUUAUGAUUUCACGAGUAGCAAUCACCCUUUUAGGGGCAAUUUUAAUCUGUCCGUCCGUAGUCGUCAAGGGUAACUCCUGAGUCACAACAUGAUUCUUUGCAGAUGGUUUAAGCAGGGAGACAUGGAAGGUAGGAUGUAUCAAAGAACCAGCAGGUAAUUCCAGUCUGUAGGCCGCAUUCCCCACCUUCUGAAGGACCUUGUAAGGGCCAUAGUAUUUGGAAGAUAACUUCAGAUUUCUUCGGACUGCUACUGAAGUUUGUCUGUAAGGCUGCAAUUUCAAAUAAACCCAGUCUCCUACCUGAAAACUCCUUUCAAUUCUGUUUUUGUCAGCAAAUUGCUUCAUUCGAUUCUGAGCCUUGAUUAGAUUACCCCGCAGCAGUUCAUUCCAUUUCCUUCUAUCUCCUAGCCAUUGUUCCACAGCAGCUACAGGAGUCUCUAAGCCAUUGAGGCCUAAUUGCGAGGGUGGAUAACCAUACAGAGCCUGAAAAGGAGUCAUCUUUAAGGCUGUGUGAUGGUUGGUGUUGUACCACCAUUCAGUAGCUGUUAGUAAGGACUUCCAUUUGUGAGGCUGUUGGAAACAUAAACACCUCAAGUAUGUCUCUACACAUCUGUUCAGCCUUUCUGUCUGCCCGUCUGUCUGGGGGUGGUAGGCAGUGGAGUAAUGCAACUCAGUACUUAGCUUCCCAAACAACUCCUGCCAGAACAUGCUAGUGAACAGCCUGUCUCUGUCUAAUACAAUGCUCAGAGGUAAUCCGUGCAGUUUGUAGAUGUUAUCAAAGUAUAUGUUAGCUAUUGACUGUGCUGUAUACUUAGAGGGUAGUGCUAUUAGAUGACAAUACUUGGUGAACCUGUCGAUGACCACCAGUAUCCCUUCAUAUCCGUGAGAUUUGGGUAAUCCUUCUAUGAAGUCCAUUGAAAUAUGUUGCCAUGCUUGCUCAGGGAUAGGGAGGGGUUGCAGUAGACCUGGUGCCUUACAGUUUUCCACUUUGCUCCUUUUACAGAUAUCACAUUGCUGCACCCAUUCUUCUACCUUCCUUCUCAUUCCAGGCCAGAAGACUGGUCCCUUCAAUCUCUGAUAGGUUCCCAGAUAUCCUGAAUGACCCCCAAGGUGCGAGUCAUGGAAGCAGGCUAUCAACUUCUGUCUCAAGUUCCCCGAAGCUCCAAUGUAUACCCUGCCCUUAUACCUGAGCAAUCCCCCAACAAAAGAGUAAUUUGGGAGAGAAUCUGGUGUAAUAGUCAGGGUUUCCAUUAAUUUAGUCACUGCAUUAUCCCAUUGGUAGCUUUCCACAACUUCAGAUAGCCAUGCAGGUUUCAUGACUGAGAGACUGUGUGUAGAACUGUCCUCUUCAUAGUCUCUUCUGGACAGUGCAUCGGCCACAAGAUUUUCUUUUCCUUUCUUGUACUGUAUUUCAUAAUCCAAUCCUAACAAUUUAGUAAGCCACUUCUGCUGAAGGGGGGUAGUUAUCUUCUGCUCCAAUAGGUAUUUUAAGCUCUGGUGAUCUGUCUUGAUAAUGAAAUGAUUCCCUAACAAAUAAUGCCUCCACUUCGAUACAGCUGUGAUAAGGGAUAACAACUCUUUCUCAUAUAUUGAUAACCCCAAGUUCUUAGGCCCCAAGGCUUGACUGAGAUAAGCAAUAGGCCUUCCUUGCUGCAUGAGUACAGCUCCUAUAGCCUUAUGACUGGCAUCUGUUUCCAGAACAAAUGGUAAGGAAAAAUUAGGAAGUGCGAGGACAGGUGUGCUACGCAUCAGUUGUUUGAGUUUUUGGAAGGCUAGCUCAGUAUGUUCACUCCAGUGGAAAUUUUCUUUCUUCAGCAACUCCGUAAGUGGCUUGGCAAUGAUUCCAUAACCUCUCACGAACCUCCUGUAAUAGCCCGUAAGUCCCAAAAAUCCUCUCAAAGCCUUCACUGAUGUAGGUGCAGGCCAGUCCAUCAUGCUUUUGACUUUUGAGAGGUCUGCCUGUACUCCAUUACCACUGAUAAUGUGUCCCAAAUACUCCACUUGAGACUGUCCAAAGAUGCAUUUGGAAAGCUUGGCAAAUAGGGAGCAAGAUCUGAGUGUUUCUAGGACAGUUUUGAGGUGUGAAAGGUGAGUGUUUAGGUCCGAACUAUACACAAGGAUGUCAUCAAAAAAUACUAGCACAAAUUUUCUCAAGUAAGGUUCGAAUACACGGUUCAUCAGGCUUUGAAAGGUUGCUGGUGCGUUAGUAAGGCCAAAUGGCAUGACUGUGAAUUCAUAAAGUCCAAGGUGAGUUUUGAAGGCUGUUUUUGGAAUGUCAUUUAGGUACAUUUUGAUUUGAUGGUAACCAGCUCUUAGGUCGAUCUUAGUGAAGAGCUUAGCACCAUAUAGCUCAUCGAGUAAAUCAUCAAUGAUUGGUAUUGGAAAUUUAUCUUUGAUAAUCAGGUCAUUUAGUUGUCUGUAAUCAACACAGAAUCGCCAAGUUCCAUCUUGCUUUUUAACUAACAGAACUGGAGAUGCAAACGGACUAUGGCUGAGCUAAAUAAUGCCACUACUAAGCAUGUCUUUUACCUGUUUCUCUAUUUCAUUUUUCUGGUUGUGAGGAUACCUAUAAGGUGCUAACUUGAAUGGUUUGGCAUUUGGUACUAAAGGAAUUUGGUGGUCACAGUUUCUAGAAGGGGGAAGGGAUUUUGGCUCCCCAAAUACAUCCUUGUAGUCCGCAAUUAGAGCAUCUAGGGACUGUUGAAAAGUAAUAUCCAACUGAGUUACAGAGUGUACCUGAGUUCCACUCAUCCUCAGCCCGCAGGCCUGCUUCCAAAUUCUGGUGCUUAGUCCCUCCUUCUCAGCAUUGUCUCUAGGAAACUUAAGGACGGCCUCCUUAGACUCUCCUUGUAGCAAGAUCCUUUCCCCUUCCUUAUCAAAUGUCAUGUUCAACUGCCUGAAGUCAAAGGUGAUGGGGCUGUGUGCAGCCAUCCAAUCCACACCUAUGAUCAUAUCAUAAGGUUCUAAGUUAAUGAUAAACAUGUCAUGAGUGAAUGGUUUACCUUGCAUUUCCCAGUUCAUGUUUGGAAUCAUCCUACUACAGGUCAAAUACUCCCCAUUAGCCACCUUGACCUUGAAGGGCUUGAUAGACUUAACCAUCCCUGGAAAGAGUUGAGCCACAGUAUUUUUGACAAAGCUGUGAAUACUUCCCCCAUCCACCAAGAUUGACAGGGGGUUCCUUUGAACAGCCCCUGCAAUUUGAUGGUAUUGUAAGUCAUCUUCCCCGUCAGUGCAUGUAUUGCCAUUUCCACUCCUUUGGCUGACUGUGCCCCUUGGUACUCAAUUACCUCCCCUUCCUCCAGAUCCUCAGGCCUAUUUUCUACUGCGACAAGCAGAUGAAUCUCCUUCUGCCUACACUGGUGACCUGGACCAAACUUUUCUCCACACUUGUAGCAAAGAUGAUGUUCCCUUCUGUACUGCAGUUCUUCUGGUGUGAUUUUUUUGAAAUGUUGAGGUGUUUUUUUUGACAGCAUUGGCAAUGACAGGUUUGGUAGGUGCCACAGUUUGCUGAGCAGCAGCCUGUGUGGAGUUUCCCCAAGCCAUGGCCCUCUGAUGAGGUUUGUGCUUCCUGUGGUAGGCUUCAAAGGCAUUCUCCUGUAGUCUGGCUAACUCAAAGGCUUUGGAUAAUGUUCGAGGGUCGUGAGCUUUCACCAUGGAUCUCAAUUCAUCUGGCAGCCCACUCAAAAAAUAGGAAAUAUAGUAGUUUUCUGGAAGGUGUGGGGCUCGAAUCGUUACCUCUGAUAACAGCUCCUCAAAAUUUUCUUGAUAUGCUAGCACCGUGGAAGAGAGUUGCAACUUGUUGAAUUCCUCCACUGGAUCCAUCUGUCCUAAGGUUCCAAACCUCUUACACAGCUCUCCAGAAAACUCCAUCCAAUCUUUGUGUUACCCCUAGUAGACCUGAAUCCUUGAUACCACACUGCCGCUUUCUCCUCCAAGUGGAACUCUGCCAACUCCAUCCAUUGCUCCUUGGGAAUGUGCAGAAGCUGGCAAUAUUUCUGCAGUUUCCUGAUCCACUCCCUAGGAUUGUCUCCCCUAAAUGCUGGAAUUUCCAAUUUAGGCGUGCUAGCGAAGAAGGCACUCCUAGCAUUCCUUUCUCCUUGUUCUCUACUCCCCAGGUCUGAACUUCUAGAGUGACUUCCUUCUGGAGAUCCUAAUAUGCCUUUCUCUUGAUUUCCACGGUUCAAGUUGGAGAGCUGCUGCGAGAUGGCUGACAUGAAUGCAUCUAGCUUAUUGCCCAGCUCAACACUCACUGCAUCCAACCUAUCCUCCAUGCUCUGCUUGUCUGCUGCCAAGGAUUCCAGAAUUCCUUGAAUCUUGCUUUCUUGCCUGCGGAGCUGUUCCUCCAUCGUCUUCAUCCUUGUUCCAUCCGCCAUUGUGAUAUGUCGAUCUAAGCUUCCUAGUCCAAGGACCGGAAGCUCUGAUACCACUUGUAAUGGUACUAUUAGUUAUGAUCUGAAUAGGCUAAGAAGGUAGAAGGGUGUAGCAGAGAGAACGCAGGGAAGGGGAAAAAUUGUGAGAGAGAAGAGAGGAAAGGAUAGUGUGACAGGAAAGGAAGCUGAAUUUGUUAUAUCUCAUUACAUGCCUUUUCAUCCCCUUUAGGCUUUAUUUAUACAGAAUGCUCCCUCUAGAUCCUUCUGCAACUAGCCAAUCUCAUAACAGAAUGAGCAUGCAUACAUGCAUGCCUUUGACAGCUAGCUGACUAACUAAAUAACGGAAAUGCUAACUAACUACCUGAAAAGGAAAGCAUGGCAGAUACAUUUCUGCUCAGAAAUAUCUAGCGAGAAUAUCUAGGGUCAUUACAGAAAUUCCCCACCAUCUAGGAAAUCUCUCAUGUUUACGGCAUUUAGAACUUGGAGAUGUAACUCCCUCCUUAACAUGGAAUCGAUUGACAACGAAGGAUCUCGGCUGGAUUGUUGGGCUUUCUUCUUUAGAAGGCCUAAUCCUGUCUGAGGUGAAUCUCAGUGCCGCUAAAGAUGGUUUACAGACAAUUAACAUGCUUCCGUCACUAACAAGCUUCGAAUUGUCUGGUUGUGGACUUUUCAUCAAUCCUCAUCUUUCACAGGUCAAUUUCACAUCUCUUUCUUCCCAUGAACUCGGUGAAAGUAAUUUCAACAACUACACGGUCCCUCCUUGGCUCCAUAAUCUUACUGGUCUCCAUAAUCUUGGUCUUAGCUCUAAUCAUCUUUCCGGUCCAAUUCAUGGCCUAUUCGAACAAAUGACCUCUCUAGUUUAUCUCGAUCUAGGGGAAAACCGCUUUGAUGCAUCAACGUUGAUGUCACUUUGCAAUGUGAGCACUCUUAAUUAUUUGGAUCUGAGUUUUAAUGAUAUGCAAGGGUCGAUACCGAGUGAAAUAAGCCAACUUUCGAAGCUGCAAGUAUUGGAUAUUUCUUCCAACUCAUUAACUGGUGUAUUAUCUGAAGACCAUUUUGCAAAACUCGGAGAGCUAAAGUCGUUGAACCUAUCUGAAAACUUAUUCACUCUGAAUGUGAGCUCCUGGUGGGUUCCUCCUUUUCAACUCCGAGAAAUUAUGAUGUCACCCAUCAAAGUAGGCCCCCUAUUUCCAGUUUGGCUUCAAACGCAAAAGGAGGUUCAAAGUUUAGAGAUGCAGAAUGCAGGCAUUUCGGAUAGCAUACCCAGCUGGUUUGGAGUGCUUUGUUAUGAAAUUUAUAUUGUAGAUUUCUCCAACAACAACCUGACUUGGAAUCCGUUGGAGUUCAAACAAAUGAAGAAGAGUCCUCCUGAUGGUAAUUCUCCAAGCAUAGUUCUAAAGUCCAACAAAUUGGAUGGAUCUCUCAAAUCGUUUCCGUCUUAUAUUUAUGAAUUAGAUCUUUCACAAAAUUUUCUUACCGGACAUAUUCCAUUGCCUGAUGUUGGUCAAACUGUUGCAUCUACUCGUUUUCUCAUACUCUGUGAUAAUCAUUUCACAAGCAGUAUCCCGGAAGACUUGUGCAAAUUGGAAAAUUUAAAAUAUCUGGAUCUAUCCAACAAUUUUCUGUUCGGAAGAGUUCCUCUGUGUUUGGGAAAUUGGCUAGACCUGCGGGUCCUAAACUUGGCAAAUAAUAGUCUAUGCGGUCAAAUUCCGAGUUCACUAGGCAACUUGGGGUAACUUUGGAUUCUGCAUUUGAAUUGAAAUAAAUUCGUUGGGAAGCUCUUAUCCUCAAUGCAGCGCCUGAGAAAUUUACAAAUUCUUGAUCUCGGUGACAAUGGACUUACAGAUAUUAUACCAACAUGGAUUGGGGAAAGGUUAUCAAAUUUAAAGUUUCUAAGAUUUCAGUCAAAUAACUUCCAUGGAAUCAUUUCUGAUGAGCUCUGCCUAGUCUCACGUCUUCGUGCUGAACCUAGCGCAUAAUAAUUUAACAAGAUCUAUUCCUCAUUGUUUUAUCAACUUCUCAAUGAUGGUAUCAAGUGAACCAGGAACUGACCUAUCAAUGCAUGAACUCUUCGGUGCAAUCCCUAAAAGCUUAUCUGCUUUAAACUGGUUGAACUUCCUGAAUUUGUCACACAAUAAGCUAUCAGGGCCAAUACCAUCAGGGAAUCAAAUUUAGACCUUAACCGAUCCAUCUAUCUAUGAAGGAAACAUUGGACUCUGUGGCAAGCCACUCCCAAAUGACUGCCUGGAACAUAAAUUGCCUACGGAAAAUGGGCAUAUUCAUGAUGAUAUAGGCCACGCGAGUCUAAUUGGUCUUGGUUUUAUGCUGUCGGGCUAUUGGGAGUUUUGGGAAUCCUUCCGUUCAAGAAGUCAUGGCGCUAUGCAUACUUCAGGUUUCUGGAAAAUGCCUAUGACAAAAUUUACGUAAUGAUUGCAUUGAAGGCUAAUCAGCUGAGGAGGAAUUUCCAUUGAGUAAUACCCUGUAAAAGCACAUUUAUUCCGUUUUUCAUAUCACACAGUAGCAUACUCUCCUUGAGAAUUUGCAAAACUAUAGUAAUUUGUAGUAAAGAUUUGUUUUAUGCGUCCCAACUUGACCGAUUCUUAUUCAAUAAGAAAAUGAUAGCUUACUAGUUUUCUUUCUUUUUUUUUUUCAAGACAAAGAAGCUCAAUAAGUUAUAUCAACAAAAGAAUAACGCACCAAAAGCAGUAGAUGAUUCUAGCAUCAAAUCAGUAUCUUGCAAAGGAAAUUUUCCCAAUAAACUAUUACGUGAUUGAAGACCAGAAAUUUCCAUUCCUUAACUUUUGGAACUUUUUAUCUUAAAAACUAGGUACCAAAACCUUAGUUGCUUUCUCUAGAUUCUCUCUUUCUAUUGGCAAUUAUUUUUAGUCUCUCAAAAAUUUGAUUUCUAAUAAUUCUGCUCUAUUCUUCAUAUUUACAUUGCAUUUUCCUAUGUUUCUUUACAUUCCAUACUAUGAGAAUCUUAUUGAUUUUUAUUUACAACCGAUUAAAUAAUUAUUUUUCUGUUCGCAUUAGAAUGCAUUAAAUAUUCUAUAUCGAGCAAUUUAUAGGUUGUUUAUCUUGCUUACUGAUCUAAUUUUUGCGUCAACAGAUUUAAACGCUUUAGAAGAAUUCUAUACUUGUUUAUGCUAAUAAUUGAUUUAGUUGUUUAAUUUCUAAUUGAUAUGCAUUUGAUAGGUUGCGAUUUUAUCAUUUAUUUUAUUAUUAAUUUCCCUUAUUGCCUGAUCCGAUGUGGAUUAAUUACUGGAUUUAUUCACUUUUAGUAUUUUGCAUUUAUUUCAGGGAGUAGAAUGAAAAUAUGACAACAGGUGCUAAUUUGGCAGAAAAGGAAUCCAAAUGAUAGAGUUUAUCCUAGGGGUAUUUUUGAAAUAAAAAGAGACGCAAGACCUUUUUGAUAAUUUGGUCGAAGACAGCAGGAAAGAAAAGGGAGGAGCUGGAGUCUUCGGUUUGAAGACUGGGCCGCCGCACAGUAGCAGAGGCUACUUAGAUAGGAAUUAGAAUUAGAAUUGAAUUAGCACUACUGUGGAUAGAUAGCUUUUCUUUCGAGGAGCUAUGCCCCAUGCAUGUCAGGAGCAAAAUUGGGGAAAACUUUGACUUUUCUUCCUUUGAGCUUUUAGUAGUUGUUUUUCCUCCUUCGUACGGCAGACGAAGGGAAAACUACCAAUCACCUUUUGCAGCCUGCUAUCUUUUCAAUAUUCGGACGAAUUGAAUUUUUCCAAUCUCAAAGGACGAUGGCUGCUGCUUUCUCUUCAGUUUUGUAUGGUUUUUUCGCACCAAAUAUGAACUAAUUUCUUCACUUUAAUCAAGGAACAACGGAGGCUUUGGUUCGUCUAAAACUUGUGAGAUCGAUUUAAUUUUAUCUUUUUCUUUUAUUUAUUGGUAUUCGCAUAUCUCUUGAUUGCAUUGUUCAUGAUUAUUUAAUUAAUUGAUUGUCUUGAAUCCGGAUAAUCAGUUAACUUAAUAAUUUAUUGUCAAUUAGGGCAUUAAAUCCGUAAUUGUUUAAGUGCCUUGAAAUAGUGACAACUGGCACGAUUAGAUUCGUGUCAAAGGGAUACGCAAGCUAAUCUGAAAUAACCCCGGUAGUGCAUUAUUUGGUUAGAAUAUGGCUCCUCUAAUACGUAAGACAAUUAGAGAAUUGAAUCUUAUGGGCAUACCUAAGAUUAUUUCUCAAUUAGAGCAGUGAUUAAUGGGCGUACCUUAAUCACCGAUACAGUAAGGAGGGGUUGACUGGCAUCACUUGUUUGGUAGUUAUAACCUAUUUAUUAAUAAAUAAUUGGAAUUGCUUGUGCAUCGAUGAUCAAUUAGGUGAACCAUUGCUGAAGUUAUUUCUUGGCUAGACCUUUAAUUAUUGUUAAUAUAAUUUUAGUGAAUUGUCAUUUAAUUUCUAGCUAGCUAUUUAUUUUUAUUCUUAUUUGAAUUUCUUUGAUUGUCAUCGUUUAUACAAAAACACCCCCUGUGUUACUUUGGAUUUCUUAAGAGACAAAUAUCCCCAAUCCCUGAGGAUACGACCCUACUUGCCCUGUCUACAAAUUCAUAAUUAUUUGUGAAAAAAGCCAUCCCAUUCGAGUAUAUCGGAUCAACCAAACUCUUUGGGAACAGGGUGAAUCAAGUAACCCAUUGCACACCUAGAGUCCUUGCUCCAGUACUUGGAAUCAGAUUUUGGUUACUUUAACUGGCAAUUAGGUUUAAUUUUAUUAUUGUACAGGCUUCGACACCUGUCAACAUUCUAGCUUUUCUGCCAACAACUCUUAUGAAUUACCAACUAAUGAUUUUCAGGUAUUACAUUAAUUCUACCCACCUAAGUUUCACUCUCGAAACUUAAUUUGACCAAAUUAGCAUAAAAACAAACUGCCCUUCCAAUUAUAUCACUUUACAUGAACAAGUAUUAAUUAAACUACUAGUAUUUAAGGCACACACCAAUGUGUGUACACCUAAAACAAAGCAUAUUAUUAAAAUUUUGAGUAAAUUUGUUGAAAUCAUUUUCAAAGGAAUUAGUUUUAUAUUUUUGACAAUGGGUAUUGGAAAAUUCACGAAAAUAAGUGUACAAAUAGAUUGUUAUUUAGCAGUAAUCCAUAACCAUAAUCGAUAGUUGAUUACAUUGGGUAGCUAGCAAGGUAAGUUUAAAAAUAAUAUAAAAUGACAAAAUUUUAUGUAUACCAAAAGCCCUCUCCCCAUUUAUAUAUUUACAACAAAAGCUUACUCCACCUUUACAUAGAGCAUAGAUAUUAUUUAUUCAAGGACAAUUCAUGUCCCUCCUCUCCUUCCCCUCCUCGUUUUUUUGGUCAAUCGUCAACUCCUAUUACUACUCCUACUCUAACCAAUAUUAGGGAAUGAUCCAACUGGACCAAUGGGGCUGGAGAAAGAAGAUCUCACCUGUAUAUCAAAGAGGUUCACUAGACCAAAGAAGGGUUGGUUCAUGUUCAAAUCCGCUAUUCUUUUUACAAGGCCAUAGAAAUUUCAAACACCUGAUGCCCAUUACGUUUCCCUUGCGUCAACAUAAAUCCAAACAUCAAGAAGAAUUCCACUUAAUUAACCUUAUUUUCAUUUGAACUUUAGUUAUUUCUAAAGUGAUAAUCAUGUCUUACUAUUCAUUAAAGUAACCUACUAUCAAUAAAAACUCCACUAGUAAAUUCCGUGCUCUCAUUUUCUGAUUUGCCAGAUUCUUAGUUGCACCCCCAAUUUACUUCAUACUACAUGCCAUCACAGUGGAUCUAGAAAUAUUAUAGCAUAACCACCUAGAAAUAUCUUCAAGAUAUAAUCCUUUUCAAUAACAUCACCCACUCAUGAUUUUCAAUCUAGAAUUACCUGUAGUUUUAAGAUUCAAAUCAAGUGAUCAUAAAGCCAUGUGAGAAAAACUAAUGAACAUAAAUUAAAUUUCUAACUCAUCGAUUGCCAAUGGUCCUAUUAGAAACUAGUUCUUGCAAUCAAUAAUUGGUAGACAUGCAAUAAAAAUGUGUCCUAGGCCUCCUGAUCUUCUAAACAAACAUGUAAGAGCAGAAGGGUUUCAUGAACAUCCUCCCAAUGAGGAAUGUUAUAUGAACGGAUCCCAAUCACAAAUUAAAGAUUCGUGAAAAAAGAGAGAAACUCUAAAAAAUUGGGUAAUUCCAAUAAAGUUUGAUAAAAGUUGUUAAGAGAAUGAGAUAUUACUUAGGCCCUAUUUGGCAAAUAACUCCCAAUAAAUAUCUGGGUAAAACUUAGGCCUCGUUUGGCGAAUGAGUUUUUUGAGUGUUUAUCUAAAAUUUUACUGCAACUUACUGUAAAAAUUGUAGGAAAAAAUUUUAAAAUGAAAAUUUUUUUUCUUUUCUUUUUAUUUCUUUUUCUUUCUUUCUUUCUUUGUUCUUUUCUUUCCUUUCUUCUUCAUCUCCCUUCCCCGUCCCCUGCCACCUCUCGCUUCCAGUUGGAACAAGAAUUUUUUUUGCUCUUUUCUCUCACCCUCUCUUCUCUCUCCCCUCCCCUCUCGCCCCUUUUCCGGGUGCUUUCUAGUCGUGUGACCAGAUCGGGCAAAGGGGUAAGGGAAGGGUGGUGAGGGAGGGAGAAGGGGGGAGAGAAAUGGCGGGGAAGAGAGGAGGAGAGAGGGAGAGGAGAGAGAGAGAAAAAAAAAGAUCGGCCGACUCCGAGGUGGUGGUGGGUUGAGAUGGAAGGAGAAAGGAGGAAGAAAAUUUCUUUUGUGUGUUUUGGAUAUUUUGAAAUAUAUAGUUAAAGUUGUUAAAAAUUUGAUAGGAAACAAACUUAGCCAAAAAUUCGUUUGCCAAAUAGGCCAUUAGUUCUAGGAAUGCUUUGAAAAUCCUUGUUAGAGGGAUAGUGAAAUUCUUGUUAUCCAUUAAUAUCUGAGGUCAUGUUAUUCAAUAAUGGUAAUUGUGAAAAAAUUUUCUCUUUUUUGAUUGAUUUUUAUUCAUAAAUUCAAGCUAUUAUUCAAAUUAUAGUAAUUUAUUGAUGAAUUUGGAUUAUUUAUUGUUGAAUUUGGCUAGGUAUAAAGUUAAUUGAAGAUGCAUAAAAGUUUCAUAAAUAAGGCAGCCUGUUUCGACAUUGCUUUCAAUGAUGUGUGGAUUAUGUUUGUGAACUUUAAUGACACAAAGGGGCAAGCUACUCCUACUACUGCUACUUAUUUUGCAUUUGGGGAUGAGUCCCGCAUCUCGUGCUGGAGUUGAUACCGGUGUAGUAAAAUGGUAAUCCAAUAUGCAAUUAACGAAUUUUGUUCUAAAAGCUAUAUAUAACGGAAAUGUGUGAGAACCUGAGAAAAUUAUGUGUAUGCCCUAAAUUUAUUUCAUUUUAUUUACUUUGAUAUUAGAAAUAUUAUAUAUAACGAAUAAAUGGUUAAAUUAAAUGCCUAAUUGAAUCCUUAUGAAAUUGAGAAUUUAGAAAAUAUCCUAGAAUAGUGUAGAAAAAUUUUAUGAAUUAAAUAAAUAUAUGGCAUUCAUAUCGUAAUUUAUGUCAUUUGCAAAUAUUACUAGACACGAAACAUAUACUAUAUAGUUCAAUAGGUACAUGUCUAAUAAAUCCUUUUUAAAGCUAAAUGUGUGAAAAUCUACUAGAUCAACGUAAGAAAAUUUUUCACGAAAAUAAAAAUUAAGUUAAGAGUGAAUGUAUGAAAUAAUAAACUAAAGGACCAAUUUAACCAUUAAUGGAUGGACAAUUAACCAUGCAACCAAAAGAGGAAUUGAGCUUCUGGACAACCGAGGAACUUAGGCAAUCAAAUGCUUAAUUACUAGAGCGGUGAUUGAGAGAACACUAAGAAGAAAACAGCUCAAGUAGUAAGUAGCACCGACUGGGAAACAUUGACCACCGAGUGGACUGUUCCUUCUGAUUCUAGAGUCUUAUAAGCUGCUAAGUCCAAGCGGUGGCUGAAGGAAAAACCAAGAGAAAUCCACAGCCAAUAAUUUGCUAAGUCAAGCGGUAGAAGUGAGGAAACAAAUAGAAAGUGGCUUGCUAAGUUGGGCGGUGGCCGAGUGGAGAAGCGAGGCUUCAAUUCUUUUCUUACCAACCAAACACCAAGAGCAAAACUGAGAGACUAAGCCAUUUCUUUUCAUCUCAAGGCACAACCGAGAGAGAGGAAAAUAUUUCUGGUUCCUCCUUGUUCCAGUUUUCAACCGAGAGAGUGAGGGAGAGAGUUAGACAUUUGCUAGCUUUAUUUCUCCAGCUUGGAACCUCAAAACUCUGAGCCAAAGUGAGUGAGAGGGAGAAAAAUCCUGGUGGUAUACUUCACCUAACGGCCUCAACCGAAUGAGAGUGAAGUAGAUUGAAGAAAGAGUGAGAGUUGGUGCAAUUUUGAGGAACCGAAGCUCAACUUGGAGCCGUCUGCACUUGCUGAAUUCUAGAGGAAAGGAGUUCUUGUCCUUAGUUUAGCUACCCGAGAGACAUUAGGAGGAAAAGGAGAGAAGGACCAAAAGAAAGAAACAACAACAACAACUAGGAACUCAUUUCUGGCCACCUUCAACCGUGAGAACCAGCCACAAAGAAAGCAGGAAUGCAGUCUAUUGAGCUAAGAAUGGGAGAGAAAAACCAGAAUUUUAUUUUCCUAACUUAGAACCAUAAGAACCAGAGGUAAACUACUAUCUUUCUCUUCCAUUUCUUCUACGUUUAGCUAGUAGUCUUUUAGAAUGAAUUGAAACCAAGUAAAAGAAAAUUUUCUAGAAAACAAAGGUUGUCAAAGCUGGAAAUGUUCGUUUGAAGCUGCAUGUUCUCACUCUAAUGUUUAUAUGAUUGCAAGUUAGAUUUGAGUGUAAAAUGAAGAGAUUAUUAGAGGAAAUUUCAUACUUUUAAACUGCUAGCUGCUGAAACUCCUUCAUCUUGGCCGAGAGAACAAAAGAGAGUAUUCUCCAACUUUUCUCUUCAAACCUUGGCUAUAAAUUCUAUAUUGUGAUUCAAAACACCUCAUAGAAUAAUAAUUAUCACCUGGAUAUUAAGUUUGAAUGAGGAAAAUAAAGAAUUUUAUGGAGAAAACUUGUUUUCCAAACUACCUACUUGCUGGAAUUUUUCAACCUCAGCCGAGAGAGAUGGAAGGGAUAUUUUCUGAUAUUUCUCUAUAGAUUUUGGGCUGUAAACUUUCAUAUUAAGGUUGAUUACACCUUAUAAUAUCAUUAGAUGGUCAUGUAUGUGAAUUUUGGGGUGAAAAUGUGAUUUUUUAUGGCUGGAUUGUUGUUUGAAAGACUGUUAGGCUAAUAAACCAUUUACAGUUUAGUCAACGGAAUUUCUUGGCUUUGAAUGGAUAUUUUAGUAUAAAAUUUGCUGGAAAUGCUUGAUUUGUACUUGUUGCUGUGUUAUGAGUUUGUUGGUGAGUGAUUGGUGGAUGGAAAUAAAAUCUAAAUAGUUAAAAUGGAAGGGAAAGUUUGCUAUACCACCUACAGGAAUCAAAGGAGCCUUGUAACUUAUAUAAGAAGAUAUCCAUUUAUUACUUGGUUUAAUAGGCUCUAUAUAAAUUGUAUACACAUCUUAAGGUAAUAAACUAGUUAUGCAUGUGGUCUUGGUUAAUAACAGAAGGAAUUAUGUGACAAGAAAGUACUUUAAGGUUAGCUACUUCUAAACUUACCUUGUUAAACGUUAAUGUUGAGUUUUAGUACGAUAAAUCUAACAGUAUAAAAGUAGUGAAGUGACAUUACUGGAAUUGCUACUUAAACUUCCUUUCUUUUGGAAAUUAAAAGUUGAAGUAACAAGCGAGUGUGAGAAAAUGCACUAGUCAUCUCAUUUAAACAUAGCAAUGACUUAGAUUUCGGGUGGAAUGGUGACUUAAGGCUAGAAUACAACACGUAUGUUGAUUAUACUUUAGAAUUUCACCAAAUGAGUAGUUAAAUAAUUAUGGCAAUUAUAACUUGUCUCAGGAGACAGCGGUGCGCAAGAAAGCAAUUCUAAGAUCGAAGUGUAACUUUUGAUUAGGGUGAGUGUUUAAGAAUUUAUAUAUUUAACUGUUUAUGUUUAUUUAAGUGAAAUUAUGUGAUAAAUGUGCUUAUUAUGUAUAUUGCCAGUGAUUUAUUGUAAAGUGUAUCUCAAUUGUCCCUCGCCUUCUAAGUCGAGGGUGUACUUUAUCGCACUCGACUUAGUUGAACUUGAAGGUUGAUUAUUGACUAAAUGUUACUGUAAGUAUGUAUGAAUGUAAGCCGUAUGUGUACUUUAUCGCAUCGGCUGAACUGAGCCUCAAAACCCUCUGUUCAACAGAUUAUUCGAGCCAGCAAAGGGCUUGUUGGAUAGGACGGAAGCUUUGGGUAACUGUUUGGUAUACUCGGGUAUUACCCUGAAGUUGGGAGAUUAUUGAACUGAUUGCUGAAUGUAGGGGAUUGAUUAUUGUUUUGGAGGACAUAAGGAGGUGGAUUGGCGGAGUGUGCAAUAAUAUUGAAAUGAAUGUACAAUGACACUGAAAUGAGUGUGCAAUGAUAUUGAAAUGACACUGAAUUACUGAACGGAACUAAGUGCUACGUCUGGAACGAACGGGAACCACCUCUAGAGUCCGUAUCAAUACCGUAUCCUUUGAGGUGAUUGAUUACUUUUAUUAAAUUUGAUAUCCUGAAUUGUUAAGUUUGGUGAAUGUUUUAUACUGCUAAUUGGUUGUUGUAUCCUUUUGAAAGUGACAAUACAGUGAAAUGUGCAUUACUUGCUUAAUUUUACUAGUUAAGUGUUUAUUGAAUGUUACUUGUUCGGCAAACCUCACUAAGUUUUAGCUCAACCUUUUAGUUUUGUUUUCCUUACAAGAAUUGGUGGUCAGGGAAUGAACAAGGGAUCUUAAGGAGUUAACGUGAAGAAUUUUGUGAAUGUAAAUCCUUUAACAUCAAAUUAUGGUUGAGGCUAUUAUAUUGAACUUGGUAUUGUAAAAGAUUUGAGUAUUUGGUUUUGGUUUAUCGAAAUGUUAUCUCUGAAAUUAAUGUAAGUGAGUGAGUCCUGGCGAGAGUCAGGCAGAUGGUCCGCUAACUUCUAGGGUAUGCUCUAGGAGAAGGUGUGACGACCCCACCUCCCCUAAGGCGUACCAAAGGGUUCGGCGGACCGCCUGCCCAACUCUCGCCAGGACUCACUCACUCGUGUCUUACGCAUACAUCCAUAGACAAGAAAUAACAUUGCAAUUCAAACUUGUAAUAUACAUCGAUGCACAAACCCAGAUACAAGACAUCUAUACAUCCAAAAUACUUAAAAGUGUAUACAAUACAAGUACAACGCAUUCUAAGCGAAUGAUAGCGUGAGUACAACUCGAAAGUCAAAACAAUUAGUCUAAACUAGUCUGUACACGUCUCACGCCUCGCUCGUACCCCUGUAAGGAAAACAAAACUAAAGGAGGUUCCAAAUAUCAAAUUGUCCAGCAAAUAAAGUAACAGUGGCAUAAUGGUGAAAUAGCGAGCAAAACAAGUCAAGAAAUGAGUAAUAACACUUCAUAUAGCUAGACACGUAAUUUUUCCGCAUUUCACAUAUAAGAAUACAGUUGCUCAUAUAUCGACUCCACCAUAGCUUGAUCAAUUGGUAGUUGGCACUCCGUCAACUUUCAAGUGAGAAACUAGUCCAGUAGGUCACCACUUCACUCCAAUCUCCGUCCACCGAUCAAACCUCUUACUGGGCUCGAACUCCACAAUAAACACUGGUGGUAAUACUCGAGUAUACCGAUUAGUCGAGGAGAUAACACUCCACUCGACAACACUAGAUACCCAUGGUUCGUUAUCUAAUCGACCAAACCCUUGCCGGCUCGACUCGAUUAACUAGCCAAUGGGGUUUGGAUCCCCAAAAAAUCGAUGAGAUAACACUCCAAUCGAUUGAAUCAAGAUAAAAGUAUGGAGACGGGAAUGAGAGGUACCUCCCACUCGGAUCGAGUGUGGUACAUACUGCCGCUCAGUACUUACAAGUCACACACAAAUAUCUCAAAUCAAUUGCAACAAUAAACAAGUACAUAUCACGUUAGGGCAAGUGCGAUAAAGUACACCCUUGCCCGAUCAUACCAAUCACAUAUCAUUCGAUCACAUUGGUCAAGUAUUAAAAACAAGUAUCCAGUUCAAUCAGGUAUUUGGAAGUACUCACCAAAGAUGUAGUGCCUUUACGGAUCACGGUCAGGUAUUACUCCUUGUGUGGAGUUCAACUCUGCGAUAAAAUGUCAUUUAAGAACUUGAAAUCAAUUAGGGUUCAAGUUUUUUUUAAAGAAAAUCAAGUAAUUGAAACUCAUUUGGGGAAUAUUCGUAAAACUCAUGCUCGCUCUUAAAACUUUGAAAAUUUGAAGCGAUUAAACUUUGAAAUUCCCAUUUGAGUCGAAGAGAGGAGAAAAACGUAUUUCUAUUAGUCGUUACUUUUAUUUUUUCAAGGUUACAAGGUUCGGUCGAAUUCUAACUUAUAUACCACUAUGAGCGAAGACUUGAAUACCCUAGAUGAUUCGAGUUCAAUUCGACCUCAAAUCUUCGCUCAAACUGCGAGUAUACACGUCUCACUUUCGAGUGAAAAUUUGGGCAGCAUACCCCUUUGUAUUUAGCUAUUUUCCAGUCAUUUAUGGCUUCAUUAUUGUUCUCAAUUCAGCCCUAAAAUCACACGCAAAUAAUCUUACCACAAUAGCCUUUCACUAGGCUCAAUGUCAUCCACACACAAGACAAUUUUAGCAUGUAAGCUUCACUUGGAAAUUCGGAAAUGGUGGCCAAAAGCUAAGUACAAGUCUUGACCGCUUUAAUUAAGGUAACUUGUUAAAAGAGUAAAACUUUGAGGAAAUGAGAGAUACAUUAGCGAGAGAAGUUCAAUAGGGAUAUAUUUGAUGUCAAGGAAGUGGAAAAAUCAAGGUGAGGGGUUGGAAGUAGGCCGUCUGAGGUUUUAAAGUCAAGAAGCCCGUUUCUAUACUUCAGGAAUCUACUGAGAUGAAUAGUAACAGUAAACUUUAAAAAUUCGCAACUCGAGUUCCACAAAUCAAACAAUUAUCAAAGUUAUACUGUUGUAAAAUAGAUUUUUAGUACUAUCACAUCCCAGAAGACACUUUUCAGAGAUUCAAAUCACAAAUAGGCCAAAUAUUCGAUCCAAGUCAAAAAUUCAUUUUCCUGAAGAAACAGGACAUUCAAGCAGGACAGCCUACUUUGAGGAGUCACGGACAGCAGUACACAUGGAGGAAAAAUAUGAAAUUUUUACAAAACAAAGGCCCAUGAUUCUAGUUGCAAAUGCCACUGAUGACACCUCAAUCGGAUUUUUCUACACCAAGAUAUAAGCAUUUUACUGAGACUGGUCAGUGAAAUCCGAAAAUCUGGAAACUCAUUUUUCACUUGUGAAAAACUCCUUUUUCUCUUUUAAAACCACAAGACUUUUAUUCAAACCACCCAUACAUUUAAGUAUGACAUUCAUACCAGCAGUUUUAACAUAAUUUAAGCAUCAAAUUUCAACAGAAACCAAAGAAAUAUACAUAUAUUCCAAGUUUAAAGUCUUGUAAGAUGUUUAUACUAAGAUUAAAUCAUUUUCUAUCCAAUAUUCAAGGAUUAAGGCAAAUGAACUCUUCAUUUGUUCCAUUUAAGCUAAACCAGAUUCUAAGUUGUUUGUAGUUUGGGUUUUGUUCCACUACACCAGCCCCUCACAUUAAUAGUCUUUAAAAUAUUAAUGAACACAAUAUUAAAUCAUUAGAAGCCACUUUACGUAUAUAACUAUCAUAACUUUCCACUCAAUCGUGUUGGUUUAACCCUACUCGUGGAACUAGGUAUAUCCAUUAAAUCUGAGAACAAUCGUAGCUAUCAUUUAUGAAAGCUUGCAAGAUUGGAAAUUAGAAGAAAUGUUAGUUAAAAGUUGGUUUCCUCAGGGCCAUCAUCAAAACUGCAUGCAUGUGAAACAAAAGGAAAGGCAACGAGGAAGUCAGCUUUGCCAUCCUCUGGUAUUUCAAUCAUAACUAGAGCUAUGCUUAUCAGAUUGAGGCAAGCUUUAUAGCGUUUCGAAGCUAAGAUAUAUACCUACAUUUCUUAUGACGACACCAACACCCAAUUCUCAUAUUUUCAGGGUCAAAAAUGGCCGGACAGAAACACAUCCUGCUUCACUCUGUCGGACAGCAACCACAAAAUUAAUCCAGUACCGUUACUUCAACUUUUGUCAAAAACUCUAUUCUUUCACUUGCUUAAAGCUCUAAAUACUUAAGGUAUAUUCAGUCCAGCAUAUACAAGGUGAGUAACUCAUAAUUUCAGCAUGUUGUUCGGCCAAAAUCACACACAAAAUCUGUCAUCAGCUGUUGCAUCAUUCAACGAAGUUUUCCAGCAGUAUAACAGUUCAACUUUGAUGUUUUCUCAAAUAUUUCCUUUCAGGUUCAUGCUCCAACUAGAAGUAUAAAACAUAUCUUAUCAAGCUACAAAGUAGCCUUAAACAGAACAUAUGAGGUUUACAACUAAAAUUCGAAGGAAGAUUGAUUAAAAGUCCUUUUCUCUCUCUCUCUCUCUCGGCCUUCCUAGCCAGUUCCAUCAGCUUUAAUCAAAAUUUCACCAUUAGUUUUUCCAUUAUGCUCUCAAAUCUAACUUGCAAUCAUAUUAAACAUUAGACAGAUCAUAAUACGUGAGUUCCAGUCACAAUUUAGCAAACGUUUUAGAGAAAUAACCAAAAUUGCAGCUUUUCCCUCUCGAUUUGCUGUGCAGAAAAUUCCAGCUUUUGAGAUUGCUUUAAAGUCAAUCUUUUCUUGCUUUUAGCUCCUCAAAUAACACACGGAUGACUGGAUUAGGAAGAUGGCAGUUAUAUGAAGUGAGUUUUUAACUAAACUAACAAAAUUUUCUAGAGAUAAAGCUGGAAAUUUCCAGCUUCAUCUUAUUGAUCCUUCAUGUAGUGUCCAAACAGAAAUUCAGCAAAGUUUCUUCAUAUUUUACACUCAUUCCACUUGAGUUCAGGUCAAGUACUGCACCCAUGUCAAGAUAUGUAUACUAUGGAAUAUAUAUAAUGCAUGAAGACAUAAUCUAACACAUUUUGAAGGAGAAUUGACUAAAAAAUUGCAGCUUUUUAUCAUCGGGUAGCAUGCAAUAACUUUGAACAGAAUUUUCCAGCUUUGAAGAACUUUUAUCGGUGAAUUCCUUCCUUUCUCAGUUCUAGUUCAUCCCAAGGAAUUAUUAACCAGGCAUAGCAGGAAAAUGAAGAAGAGCUUAAUUAAUUACCUAUUGUCUCUUCACGGUUUAGACUGGAACAAGAUUUCUGGUUUUCUUUUGUUUCCCUCUCUCGAUUCCUUGGUUAAAUGAGCUGGAGUUUCUCUUGUUUCUUGGCUGGUGUUCAUGGUUGGAGAAGGUAAGAGAGGUCUCCGUUUUUCCUUCUUGUUGUUUCUCGAUUUUAGGCAACAGGGGAAGUGAAUGGAACCCUCUCGGUCACCGCCCAACUAGUGCACAAAUGAAUUUCUUAGCUCCUCUCAUUCGGUCAUCACCUCACGUAGCAAAUAAAUGGGCAGCUGUCUUAACAGGUACCGCACAAUCUAGAAGCCAAUUCCUACUGGUUUUCUCCCUUCCACCGCUUGGACUCAGCAGAUAAUUUCUCUUUAUUGUCUCUCUUUCGGUCACUACUUAUUCAGCAAAUUUGGUGAUGCAUUCCUUCCUGGCAGCUGUCUCAACUCACCGCCCCAGUCUCAGUUAAUUUCUACACUUCACCGCUUAGACAAGUAGAUGGUUGCUGGCUUCUAUUCGGUUCCUAUCAAUUAAAUUUUUAUUCCUCUCUCGGUUUUGGUCUUCUGAAUUCUGAUAGCUUAUGCCUUGGCCACCUGGUAGUUAGUCUAAAAUUUAAGGUUAGUUUGGUCUUUUAACUGUAGCUUAUUUGCUCACAACGGCCUGAUUUGUUUAUUUAUUUUUUUAUGAGUUCAUGCAUGGACUCGUACCUUCAUUUGUAUUUUCGUGGAAAAAUUUUGACACCUUUAGCUUUAAGAAAAAUUAUUAGACAUGUACCGAUUGAACUUCUAGUAUAGUUUACGUGACUAGUUGUAUUUGUUUGCAAAUAACAUACAUUACAAUAUGCAUGCCAUAUAUGUAUUUAAUUCAUAAAAUUUUUCUAUACUAUUCUAGAAUCUUUUCUAAAUUCUCAAUUCUAUAGAGAUUCAAUUAGGCCGUUAAUUUAAUCAUUUAUUCGUUAUACAUAAUAUUCCCAAUAUCAAAGUAAAUAAAUGAAAUAAAUUCAGGGCAUACGUAAUUUUUUUUUCCUGGGUCUUCACAGAAGGUGGGGCCGUCACAAAAUGAUUAUUCGUAAAGAAACUUAUUUAAAAGUUGAAAUUACCCUUGUUUUGAAACUCAAAUGGCUGAAGCGAACAAAAUGCAUAAACAUAAUAUGUAUGACACUCUAACCCCAUAUGAUUUUAUAUUUUACCAUGAAACCCCUUAUGAUUUAAUGUUUUAUCAUAUAAAUCCCUUAUGGCUUUCACUAUAUAUACAUAACCCCCUUAUAGUUAAUAAAUAAUUUUCAACUUUAUAUAGGGUAUUUUUUAUAUUUUAAUUGAUUCCAUUAUGGAUUGUAAAUUUCGUUAAUUUGACACUUUAAUUCAGACAAUAAGAGAGUUAUGUAUAACUUUUGAAAUCAUAAGAAGAUUAUGUAAAAAAAAAUAUUAAAUCAUAGGGGAGUAAAAUGUAAUUUAACUGUGUGCAGCAUCCAGCCCCUCUGGCUGCUGUCACUGGAUUGGGAGGAAUAUAGUAUGAAAGGCUGCAUGCACCGUCCAGCGUCUCUACCACUGUGGGUCAUGACUUUAAUUUCUUCACGGGUAGACUUGUAGUUGCCAGACUCAACACGAAACAAAGUUUGUACCCAAUUUCGAACGCUAUAUGGGCACGUCGAGAUAUUGAAUGCUGUUCAUUUACGAUUGUUUUGGUUACUCCAAAAUUUAAACGUGCAUUUGAAAUUCAUUAAAUAUCUGUUUACUCUUCUUUUAGCUUCAACCUUUUUAUAUAUUCAAAACCACCAAAAUGUUUUGCUUAUAUUUAAAAAAAAAAAAAAAAAAAAAAGAGAAGAGUUUAUCAAGUCUCAUUGAACGUAUUAAACAAGGUUUUUACCACAAAAAAAAAAAAAGAAAUAUAGCUGGAUCCAUGCAAAUAUCUGUAAAGGCUUUGUAAAGUAUGUGGAUCCUAUUCUAUAAGUAAUUAAAUUUUUUUUUUUUGGGUUAUUCUUGGAAAUAGACUACUGCAACCAGUUACUAUUUAAGUGGUCCAUGGCAGUAACUCUGAUACAAAUUGACAAAUGAAUACAUAUUUUUCAGGAACUUCAAGUCAUUGUCAUUUUAUCAGCAAUUUUCUACAAGCAUUUAGAACCAUAGAUGAUGCUUUAUCAGACGACCAAUACCAAAGGAAUUGAAUACGCAUCUCCUUAAUACUACUUCAUCAUUAUUAGCUGAUUGAUUUGGUAGUAGUAUUCCUGUCACUUUUGAUGCAUUAAAUAAGCUUAUUAAUCAAUUGUCGCUUGCGAGAAAGCUUGAUAAAAAAAAAAAAAAAAAAAUCAUCUCCAAAAACAAGUUGGCUAUGACAGGAAUGGGAGAGGGGCAAUGACAAUCGUCAGUUGAAUCGUUUCGAAACGAUGUAAAAGGGAAUCAACAGGCAAGUUAUCAAAUAUUUGUGAUAAACUCUUAAAACACACAUGUUAUAUACUUAAACUCUGUUCACGACGACCCUACAAGUUAGUUGAGUUAGAGUUACAUAUAUCGUUAUCUAUCUCACCUUUACAACAUGAAUUUUUAUGUUAUUGGCAAAAUCUGAGUCAUGAACCUUCCGAAACGUUCGUCAGUUUCGUGACAACCAUUUAGUCCGACAAAGACACUUGUCUUGUUGUAAAGUGAACUAGAAAAAUUACCUCGCAGUAUAUUUCUUAGAAGAAUAGACUAAGUACCAUCCGUUAGCCAACCACAAGUAUAGCAAUUGAAUCAAUUAUCCUGACUGAUUCUUAGACUGUUUAUUCCAACAAAUUGCCGAAUAAUGAUAUUAUGAAGUAUGUAACUGCUUUAUGCUGCUGAUACAUGUUUUCAUCGAGUGAUAAAAUUUGUUAUGUAUUCUGUAGUUAUUGUUGUAAUGAUUUCCACGAAGACUUCAAGUCAUUGUGCCUGUUUCAAGUCAUCGUGAGCCAUUGUUCCGAACCAUAGAGGUUCUUGCGUGAAUAUGUUUGUACUGGAGAACGAAUGUGUAUCUAAUGAUGAAACAUAGGACAACUGAAAGAAAAAAUACUUAUAAACAACGCAUUGUUUAUUUAUUUAUCAUUUUCGUCUCCGGCAUUAACAAGCAGGAGUACAUUUGAUUUCACCCCUCCUUCAGCAGAUAGCGAUCGAGAGGAACUGAUCAGGCAGCACGAGCAUAGGACCGUAGCAUGGACUGGAAAUUUACCUCGUGAUGAAGGUAGGGGAAAACCAUGAUGCCUCCAUAAACAGGAGAGUUCUUCAGAUAGGGAAGAACCUCAUAAACUAGCUCAUUAGGUGAGAUGAAACCGCCCUCAGGUGCGAUAGAAGAGUUUAUUG